rnacentral:lncRNA from 1 species
UCCUUUUGGCCUGUAACUCUGGUGGGGUUGUAAUCACAAUUCAUACUUGUGCAAAGAAAUUCCAAUCUCAGGUAGAUAUGAUGUGUAGUUCCGAAAUUUUGGUAGAGACUGGUGUUUGGCAGACUUCCUUUGAGAGUGUGUUUUCUUUCAGUGUUCUAUCCUAAUAUAGUCUUUCUACUGAAAAACAAAAUCAGGUAUUUCUUGUAUUUCUACAUGAGCUUGUGGUGUUAUCCGACAUUUUGAUUUCUGUGCUAGAACAUCGAUCCAUGUUCCAAACUACACAGCUCAUGUGUUCUCCAUGGUUUUGGCCAUUGUGUUGGUUCAUUCACUUGUUGCCUAGACUACGUGUGAUCCCCUCCAAUAUCAUGCGUACCAUACUUCAGUUUUGUUUUCGUUAUGCAUCAUGAUCUGUCUCUGUUAUUCAUAGUUAUUCCAUUCAGACAGAAUCAGUUCUAACCUAUCUACUUUAGCAUAAUCCUCUUUUCAGUUGCACUGUAAAGCUCCAUCUUCGCUGUCAGUAGUGAGCGGCAAUGCAUAACUCGUGCAAAGUACCUCAACCCCCUUUCAAACUUUUGAUAUAUUCAUCUAUGGCUUUAUAUCAUUAUAUCACUCUCACCUGAUCCAUUUUGCAACGAUUUAUCCUUUUCUGCUGGGAGAACGACAAGUCAUAGUUUGCACAGCAUUUUUCUUGUGAACCUUAAAAGAUAAGUGUGGCCAGUGUCUGUUACCCUUAACUGUGAUUGAUACCCCUUGUUUCUGUCUUUGCAUCCUUACAUCACUCUCAGCUGAUUCAUUUUGCAGCAUUGUUUUCGCUUUCUGCUAAGAUUGGGACAGAUAAUUCAGAUGCCCAGUCUCUCCGAAAUCAGCUUAUCUUACCAGCAUUCUCUGGAGAACCAUCAAAGAUUAGGCUGGCCAAUGUCCUUUCAGCGAAAUCUUGGUAGAGACUAUCGUUCGGCAGACUUACUACAGUUCAGAGCAAUGCCGUUUUUCUUUCAGUAAGCUAAUCCUAAUAUGUUCUUAAUUAUCCGAAAACUAAAAUCAGGUUUGCAUUUCUAAUUCUACAUGAGUUUUUCGAAACCUGAAGCACAUCCUUCCAUUUUUUUUGUGUUUCCACGUUAUGUUCUUCCAGGCUGCACAGCUUCCACGCUAUUGGCUCAUUGUCUCGUUGCUUCAACUACACUGCUUGCGAUGUCCCUUCUCACGUGAACAAUACUCCAGUAUUCGUGUAGCGUCAUGAUUUGAGCUUAUCAUGUGGUUCAUUGUUGCUAAUGCAUUCUGACAGAAUCAGUUCUCUGAUCUCAGCUUUAGCAUAAACUUCUUUCCAGCUUGCAUUCUGGAACUGCAUCUUCGCUGUCAGUAGCAACCAUGCUUAACGCUUCUUGCUACGGCGACAUUUUCAACCUCUUCAUGCAUGGCUUAUGUCCUCAUUCCGCGUUGCCCGGUCUUUCAAAUUGCUCUCUUAAGUUGACGUCGAAUUCUGCAGAUGCCCGGUCUUUCAGAGACCAACCUGCUAACAACAACAUUUGAAUAGUCUGAAGAACACAAGGACCUUCCAAUAUAAGGUAGGAAGCACCAAAUUCCUUCUUAAUCAUGGUUUAGCAUUUGUAUCACUCUCAGCCGGUUCAUUUUGCACAAUCUAUCGCUUUCUGCAAAGACUCCUGCACAUUAUUCAGAUGCCCAGUCUUUCAGAAAUGAGAUCUGACAGUAUUACCAAAUCUGAAGAGCAUUAUCUGAAUUCUGAAGAACGAAACGAUCGAAAACGAACCCUUGUGAUUUGUCAAGUGUGAGUGCACUCCCUACCAACAACUUGUGAUCUCCAUUUCUUGCAGCUGCUGCUGCCGCGAAGAAGGAAGAACAUGUUCUGUCCACACAAAAAAAUCAGUCAAUCUUUUCAGGCAACGGGCACUUGCAUAGAUGCUUUGCCGCAGAAAAUGGUAGCGAAUGAUGAGAUCGUGCGGGUCGUCCGUCAACUGGAGAGCCUCCUCAAAACCGGAUUCGCAGCGACGCAAAACGUUUUUGCCGAAUCCUGUUCUGUCCCCUCGCCGAGAAUGUGCACGGCCAUUGAUGAUAGAACUUGCUUUCUUCAGACCUCUUUUUUGCAGGCCAAAGCAAAGCAGUUCUAGAAACCUCAGUCUGGCUUUGGCUCGUAGGAUCCAAGUCCAAUACAUCCCUCCGAUUCCAGAUUUCCAGUGGCAGGCAGCCUUGGCCCUGAUCGUGAUCUAUCAUGCAGGUGGCCAUUUGUCAUGUGCUUUAUUUGUAAGGAGCCUCGCUCCCGGGGUUACAAUGUUACAUGGGUUCUGACUCGCCCCUUCUUGGAUUGGUUGGCAUUGCUGAUCAAGGCAAAAACACUGAUCAAAUAUCAAUUGAACCAAGGUAGAAAAUUACCCUUCAUGAUGGAUUGAUGUGAGGCGCACUUUGGAGAAGCAAGUGGGUGUCUGAUGCAAGUGCAACAAGGUGAGCUAACUCGUUACUGGCUACCACAAAUUCUUAUCCCCAAAUGCGCCAAUCAUGUAUGAUAUGUCGCCAAUUUGGUACUCCGAUGGUUACAUUCUCCCAUAGAAAAAUGGCUACAUUCUGAUUCUUUGAAUAUAUCCUAUUAAGAAGCGGUUGUGUAGGCACCACCUUGCCUGUCUUGGAAAAGAAGGUCCAUCCCACGAUCCAUAUGCUUGUCCUCAUCAGGGGUUAGACUCACUAGACCCAUGCUGGAAAUUCACGUUGGCCAGGACAAUAAAAAAUACUCACUUGUGGCUGAGGUGCAAUCUACCACUGAAUAUUUAUUCCAAUUCCUCUCUAGAUGCAGGUUUGGUCGGUGUAGGCCAGGGGUUGACCAGGGGAUUACCCACUAAAUUUGGAGCUAAUCAUUUUGCUUCCAUCAUGAGAUUUGGGUUGGGAAUUUCAUGCUCCACGAUCUAAGGCGCAAAAGUGAAUUUGUGCACAUCUUGGUGAGCAUGGUGUUGAUUUAAGACAACUAUUAUAAUAAGACUCUCUGCAUUGCAGUUGUGCAAAAUGGUGACAACAUGGUACACAGGUGAGAUGAGAAAAAGAAGGGCACAAGGUUAACCUUAUUUACCACUGCCAAACUAACUCUCGGUUGCAUUUUGUUGGAACUGAGUACCAAGGUUAGCUCCAAGAAUUACAAAUCACAGUCCCUUCAGCUAAUACAAAUUGCAAUCAGAUACAGUAUCUAGCUCAAGCAUUUAUCUUUCUACUCUUACUUACAGGCCACUUCAAAAAGGCCUAUCAAUCCGUAUCUUCAGCGCAUCUAAUCUGAUUGGCGUUUCAAAUCAAUCAUGUAAUCCUUUCAGCACAUUGUACACGACCAAAUUUCCAAUCAAUCCAUCUGGCUCAUAAUGACCGCUAACGGACCGAAGAAAAAAGAUACCGGUAUGUCAUUAUAUAGCCAAAGCACAUGUCAACAGUCAACUGCUGUUGUUUCAGAUAGCGCCAACGAUCGACACGUGGAUCGGCGCCACUAUCGGCAGAUUAGUGAUGCACACCCUCAAUAUAGUAUCCUUUCAACAUGACGAUUUGACAGUAGUUUGGAGAGUGAUGAUGACCAUAAUGGGAGAGCACGCCCACUGUGACCGGACCGGUACAAAUGAUGAUUAUCGUCCUGCUCCCACAAUGCCUGGACCGAUCAAUCCAAAGUUCUUGACAUCAGCUAGCUCAAGAGAUACAGAGGUGCCAUGCAUAGCAGUCCCAUCUGUUUACAAACAGUCACUAGCAAAAUAGUUUGUACCUGAAGCAGUUUCCGGUGGCGGCUGAAGAUCUGCAUUAGCAUCCACUAACUAAUUAGCUCGGUACGAGCUUGCUGUGCAAAUUUCUGACGCAUUUCUUUCAUGUGCUUGAAUUAGUUAGUUGGAUCGAGGCAGGCACUGACUAAAGCAAAACCAAAGUGGUGGUAGCAAAGGUGUGGUGUGGAUCGCAUCCAUCCAUCGAUUGAUCCUUCACCGAUUGCACCCAACUCGACGUUGUCGGCAAUGCAAGUGCAUGCAUGGAUCCGGCCACUAAUUUUCCAGCAAGUUCGUUCGAUGCAUGGAACUACUGCUAAUCUGGGUUAAAAAAACAAAAGUAGUGAUGCUCAUAUAUGGAGCAAGGUAGUGGUUAGCUUAACUUGCAGUGAAUGCUAUAAAUGGGCACAUGUCAAAUUUGCAGUAUGAUUUGUGGAUGAAAUCAUUCGGUUCGGUCAGAGAUAAAAUGGAUGUGAUUAGCUGCGAGCUGAGUGACAGACGAAUGGCACAUCAAGUAGUUAUCGUCUGACCUUGAAAAUGAUUGUGCUCCACCGCUGCACUUGGUCGAUCAGUGCGUGCAUUGUUCAUCCUUUUUCGUCAAAUCUCAGUUCUUCCGGCAGUGUAUCGUUGGCUGUUGUCAACUUUCUUUUCGGUCGACAAUGUGUACUGGAGCAAAUCCCAUCCAUGAUCCAACUUUGACUGGUUUCAAAUUUCAAACACUGAGGACGACCACUAAUAGCUACUUUUUAGGUUUAUGCAUAGCUAUACAAUUUUUCAGAUAAUUCUUACAAGUUGCUGCAUUUUUCUGCGCUGCAAACAUGACGGUAUUAACGUUUUAAUUACAAAGCUAGAGGCGUCCACUUGCAUUUGUGAUCAAAAUAAGACCAGAACUUCUUUUUGCAAAAAUAAAUAGCCUUUCUAGCCACAUAGCCUUCAUGAUUAGAGAGAUUCAAGGAGUAACAAGAAGUGGUGUAAGCAAUAUGACAACUCAAAGUGAGAGAAAUAAAAGAUAGAAGGCAAAGAAUCACGAUGGUGUAUGACAAUAUGACACACUAUGACACUAGAUAGUAGAUCAAUCCAUUCGAUUGCAAAGCAAGACAAAGCUUGCAAAAUUUGAAGUAAUUAACUAUGAAUAAUGCCAAAUAUGAAUUGAUGAAUGAAGGUUAUAUUAUCUUUUAUAUUCAUCAAAAACUGCUAUAUUUAAAACAUUCAGAUUUUUUUAGGCAGCUUAAAAGCAUAUUAUAAUUUAUUUAUAUAUUUCAUUCACAGUUCUUGCUACAGUUACCCACUGCAAAUUAGUAUCCUUUUUACAAAUACUAUUGCAGCUAUUUAUCAACCAAAACUAGUUACUAUUUGUCGAUUAAAAGGAAAACACACGAGAUUAGAUCAUCCAGUUUACUGCAAAUCAUUUUUUUUUUGCUACUGAUGAUACACCCAUUACGAAAAAUCGGUGUCGCAUCAAUGGAAUCCACACAUAAUAUUCGGGUGGAAGUACUUGUCGCACAACGGUAAAAUCGACAUUUUCCCCCCUCGGAUAUGGGCUACCUAGGCGAUAUAUUCAGGAAUAAGAAUGUGUUGAUUAGAAUGCACAAUCACUUCUGAUUGACCCUUCAUGUUAUAGUAGCCUUCUAGGUUUACCCACCAACUCUUUUUUUUAGAAAAAAAAGGUUUACCCACUAACUCAAUAUGAUAAUCGGCUCUAAAAGUGGCGUCAUCUUGAUCAAAACUAAGAAAAUUGACCAAGCUAUGGGCUUCAAAAUCCGACUUAUUAUACUCAGACCCACUUGAGGAAACGAAAAUUUUAAUAAAAGAGAGAAAGUAUCCUACCGUAUUUGGUUCUCUAGAGACAGACAGAUUCUUGAAAAAGCUAUCUUCUAGAGAUUGUCAAUUAGAGAUGGAGGUUGGCCAAUCUUUAAGCUCGGUUACAGUUGUUACAAGACGUGAAAAAAAAGAAAAGAAACCACCCCCUUUGUUUGAAACAUAGCAUAUGCCUUGUUCAUUAAUACAAAGAUAUAUUAUUUCAUACUCCAAUAUAGAAUGUAUCUAUCAAGAUUUAAUCUAAUAUUUUGUAAAUUGUAGGAUAUAGCUUUAAUAUCAUUAGAUUCAUAUUUAGAAGCAUUUCUAUAGUGUUGACCUUAUGGACACAUACCAUCUCAUAUGGAGUAGGAGAUAUUAACUGUUACUAGCGUUAGAGACCAGGUCAGUCAAAUCGAACCUUACAUUUGUAAAACGGAAGAAGUAUUUUUAAAAGUAACUUCGCAUGCUUGCAUGCAUACAUUAUGAAACGGACCCGAAUUCCUAUUUCUGAGAAUUCAAGCCUACGCACCUCGAUGAUAAUUUUAGGAAGGCUAUCACGUGCGAAUCCCUAUCUCAGGUAGUACAAACCCAUACCAACAUAAAAACAGAGAGAGAAACAGAAUACAAACAUCAUAGGUAACAUGAGUACGAGUACAUCUCAGCGGCACAUGUCGGUACAAGUCCAUCAGGACUGAAUCAAGAAAGGUAAAAUAUCUACGCAGCGGAAACAUAAGCUAUGGCGAACUCCAUCUCCAGAGGCAACUCGAGCGAAGAAUGGUCUCUAGUCUUCCCAACCGUUGUUGUCGAAGUCGUAGUCGGGCUCCGACCCUGAAAAGCCACAAUCUACCUGAGAAGCAGGUAGGCCAUGUCAACUCCCAAAAGCAGCAGAGCCAAGGAAACAGGGGAAAUAUACUAUAUGCAUGGAUAAACCUAUAUAUGGUUGUAGAGGUUUAUGCAGCAACUGCAGCAGCAAUCAAGGAAGCAACUAUGCAACAUCAUCUCCGAGGUCAACACCUCAAACAAGGAAGUCGCCACAAAUCACCGGAUCCUUUACCCAAGGGUCCAGCACCCAAACACACUAGGCAAUGUGAGAACUCCCUCCCCUCACAUCUCAAUGGCAAACGCCAGCCUAUCUCAAAAAGGGGAAAGGUGGAAGUACAAGAGAAGUCUAGUAAGAAGUAGCGGUAGUCAACAACACUGUCCAUAACCAGUGGACACGGACUAUAGCUAUAGCUUUAUACACUCUGCAGAGGUUCUAUAACUGUAUCCGCACGGAUGGAGCUUGAACGGUAGUGAACCGUCCAAACCCCGCCUAGCAGCCGGAGCCCUAGUAAGUGGAUAGCUCUCUCCUGUUUCCUCGAUUCUGGAACCGUCCUCAGCUGUAGGGCACACCGUCACCAAUGAGGACCUCGAAGCUAUGAAACCUACCCACACUAGGGUGCAGUCUAGUUAGAGCAAGUCAACGCCUCGAACUCCUUACACGAUCCUCCAAUCCACCUACAAGCAGAGCACUAUCCACUACUAGUCUUGGACCGAACCCCGCCCAUAACGUAAGCGAGUGGUAAGUAUGAAAAGUAGCUGAUGUGACUGGUGGUAAAUUGACUCGGUCCUUAAGCGGCUGAGAGCGAGCACUCAGCCAACAAGUAUGUGCCGAAGCACUAGCAAUGUACAAGUACGCCACCUGCUCCUUAGUAACAAAUAAGGUACCCACCACAGGUAUGGGGUAUAGAGAGAGUCCAGAAAGCUCUCUCUUGGCAAGGGACUCCUUAGUACCAAUCAUGGCUCGCUCCCGCCAAGAACACAUCAAGGAGUCACACUCACCCAAAACACACGCGAGAGUAUUCAAGGAAUCCCAUCACCAAAUCCAUGGCAAAUACGCAUCCAUAACUCAAAAGCAUAUAAAUGGAUAAAUGAGCGUUGGACUAGCUAGGGGUCCGUAGUUAGUCCACAAAAGUAGGUAACCAAGAAAAACAGGAUUAAACAAUUAUCAAGGCAUGACUAAAAAUAUUAGCUAUGCAAUCCAUCAUCACCAAGCAAUAUAAGUAAAGCACUAGCAAAUAAGCAUGCAUAGGAUCUAUAUAAUUGGGAGUGACAUGAUACUUUGUCCGUAGUCGAUUGGGUCCUCCUCGGUGUAGUCGAGGUCUUGAAGGUCUUCCUGGUCGUAGCUCGGAUUUGAACAGAACAAGAUACGACGAAACGUAAAUUAAACGGCAUUACAUCUAGGCAAAAACUCCAAUAAAGCCAAAUUUAGAAGAUCCAAAUAAUACCAAACUAGCAACAAACAACACGGGCUCGAUUUUACGAAUUUAAUGCAACUACUUUCGGAGUUAAAAUAAAUUAGUUAUGAAUUUUUAAAGAUUAUUAAAGGAUUUAUUUAAUUAUUUAGUAAUUUCAAACAAAUAUUUAUUAAAUGUGACAUGUGUCAGCUUGUGGUUGCUCCACGUGGCACCCCCUCGGGUUGCCACGUGUCCUGCUAACGUCAGCGUUGACCUGAUCAACGGUCAACAUGGGCCCAUCGGGUUAGUGGGCCCACAAGUGGGCCCGACCAGCCACAUCAGCGCCACGUGGUGCCUACGUGGCAGCCACGUGGGCGGCGGCAUGGCGUGCGGGCAACGGUGAGUGCACGUAGGCGAGCGCGGCACAGCACAGCGGGCACACACGGGCGCGGCGUGGCAGGUGCAAGCGAGCACUGGCGCGGCACGGUUGGGCAUCCCUUGGUCGCGGCAUGGCCGCGGCGGCCCACGGCGAGCGGCGGCAUCUACGGCUACGCUAAGGCUACGACACAACUAACAGCAAGGGGAAAGGAGGAGGGAUGCGAGGCUCACGGCAAGGCGGGUGAAGAGGAAUAGCGUCGGCGGCAGCUUCCUUCGGCGGCGGCGUGGCGGCUCCCGCGGGCAGACUCCUCCUCUUGCUCUUCUUCUCUUCCUCUUCUCCUCCUUCUCCUUCAUCUCCUUCUUCUCCUUCAUCUCCUUCUUCUCUUCUUCCCCGCGACCCUCCUCUCACUUUCUCUCUCGGCGAUGGCGGCGCAAGGGGAGAACCCUGGGCGGCUAGGGAUAGUGAGGCUGGAGGGAGGGGCGCGGCUCCUUUUAUAGCGGCGAAGAGGCGGUACAAGGGCACAAUUGUGCUCCGCCAUCCAUCCUCGGUGUCCGCGCCUGAUGAUGGCGUGGCACCAAUCCGGCAACUCUGCGGCUAGGAUUAAGGCGCGGGCGGCGGGCGCUCCGGGGGCACGGAGGGGAAUUCCCCUCUGCGGAAGCCUCUAGAAGGGGACACGGAGGCGCCUCCGGUCGGGGGUGUGCGCCAGCGCGACGCCCUUGCCCGCCCGUGAGCGUGCACGUACCGGGCGCGUGACUCGUACGGGCGGGAGGUGGAAGAAAGGCGCACAGGGCACACCGACAGGUGGGGCCGGUUGGUCAGCGAGAGAAGGCACGGGCGAGCGCGCAGAACGCUUGCGCGAGCGUGAGCUGGGCCGAGCAAGCGACUUGGGUGGUGGCGGCCUGCUGGGCAGCGCAGAGCGGUGCGGGCGAGCUAGGCCGAGCAAGCACGAUGCGGGCGAGCUGCGGGGCGGCGCGUGGUUGAGAGGAGAGGUAGGUUAGUGGGCCAGACCGGCUCAGCUUAGCGGGCCGGUCCAGUGGGCUGGGUUAGUUUAGGUUAGUUUUUAUUUAGUUUUAGAUUUAGAGUUAGAUUUAGAUUUUAGUUUGAAUUUUGAAUUGAAUUCAAAAUUCAAACAACACUUGAACAUGAACUCCAAAUAAAAUCCAAAAGAUCCAAAUCAAGCCACACAAAUUUUUAAAUGGGAUUUAGGGAUGAGAGAGAAAUUAUCUAGUUUUUCAAAUGAGCACACAAUUCGAACAAAAAGUUUUAAAUUUUUGCAAAAUUCACUCAUACAAAUAUUACAAAUUUUUUUUUGAAUAUUACACAUUAAAUAUAGUAAGUCUUUGAAACGGCGACAAUGAUGUGCUGUGCAGUCAUAUUCAAUUGUUUCUUUACUGCAUCCAAGAUGGAAAUACACGCACCUUGUAAUUUCAAACGAGGAGAACACCAGAUUCAGGCAACCACACUCAUUUGCGUAGUUCAAGCUGUUUGCUCGGCCAGACAAGCCCCAUUAAAACCUUUGUCCUCGGACACCCGAGACGCUGGAAACAAACAGCUGGAUACCUGCCUGCGCGUAUAAACAGCUCAGUUUGCUUGCUUCCAUGAUCACAGUGGCAAGAGAUCCAAGCGCACCACCGCGGCGCGGGCUGCAGGAUCCAGCCAUCCGGAUUGCAUCAUUGCUGAUGGCUGGCAUUUGGACCUCUGACUUCUGGACACGAACUGAACCGGCAAACAAUUGUAGCUGACAACCGGUGGUCUGCUACGGUUUGUAGCUGGCCUUGAAUGCAAUGCAGGCGUUACACAUAAUAGUCUCGUUCAUCUGCCUGCGAGGGACGCUAUACAUAGUAUAGUUCAGGUCAUGGCAGCACAUCUAGUGGACUCCGUGAGGAACAUAAGAACUUGCCAAAGAAAUCGAGAGAUAUUGUUGAAUACUACGCACUUAGCCUCGUAGUGUCAUGUAUAGAUUUCAAAAUAAGUUCCUUUUUAUGAGUAGAUCUACUGUAAUCUUCGCAACCCUUUUGCUCUGACUUGUUAAUUUUCGCUGAUACGACGUGGUACCAGACCCGCCGCUUUUGGUUCUGAGCCAGCCAGCGAUCUCGAUCUCCCCCAUUAGUGCUGCCUCUUUACUGAACAAUUGCCAGAUUAACAAAUUCCCUCCAUGGAUUCGCCUGCGUGGCCUUGCCUUUGCUCGAUUCGAUUCGUGCCCAUCGUCGUCCAUCUCCUCAACAGCGACCACCCGGUGCCGCAAUUCCGGCCGCUUUCCUAUUCCCCCGGCCGCUCCCGUGCUGCCAUGUGGGCCCCACAGGGGGGGGCGCUUAUAUAAAGGCCCUCCUCCCUUCUCGGCCUCUCAGACCACCAAACCAAGAACUAGAUAGAUCAUAGAUAGAUCAAACAAAACAACCCUCUCCUCUCUUUCUCUCUUGACGACUGGCAAAUAUAGGAAUCGAGAUUGACUUCAUGGAGAAAAGCUUGAGGGUUGGUUCCAUGGAGGACCGCCGGGAAUGGGUACACGACUCCUCCGUCGAUCACCGCGGGAGGCCGCCCUCCCGUGACGCCACCGGCUCGUGGAAGGCCGCCAUGUUCAUCAUCAGUGAGUACCCACUGUCCAGAGAUCAUCGAGCUCCAUGCACCGACCAGCUGUUUUUCUGUCGUCGGCGUGUUCUUCGGGUCGAUUAAUUCGUUCCUAGCUUUUCCUCUCCCAAAAUAGGUGAUCACUGAUUUCGUCUUCCUCCUUUGGUCGAUUGGCAUGCAGUGAUCGAGUUCAGCGAGAGGCUCAGCUAUUUCGGGAUCGCGACGAGCCUGAUGCUCUACCUCACCAAGGUGCUGCAGGAGGAGAUGAAGGUCGCUGCCAAGAACGUCAACUACUGGACCAGCGUCACCACGCUCAUGCCCUUGCUCGGCGGCUUCCUCGCCGACGGAUACCUCGGCAGGUUCUCCACCGUCGUCUGCUCCACCGUCGUCUACCUCCUGGUGAGCUGCUGAUGUCCCUUUGAAUUCUUCUCGCAUGCAUGCAUUGAAUCUCUCAGCUCCGUCCGUUGACGCGUGUUUUCUUGUCGUCGUUCCAGGGCCUGAUGGUCCUGGCCACGGCGCAGCUGUCGCCGAGGCUGACGCCCAACCACUCGCUGCGGCUCCACGAGACGCUCUUCUUCGUCGGGAUAUACCUGGUGUCCGUCGGCACCGGCGGGCACAAGCCGGCGCUAGAGAGCUUCGGCGCCGACCAGUUCGACGAGAGCCACGCGGCGGAGCGGGUCCAGAAGAUGUCCUUCUUCAACUGGUGGAACUGCGCGCUCUGCUCCGGCGUCCUGCUCGGCGUCACCGUCAUCGUCUACGCGCAGGACCGCAUCGGCUGGGGCGCCGCCAGCGUCGUGCUCGCCGCCGUCAUGGCCGCCUCGCUCGUCGUCUUCCUCGCCGGCUGGAGGUUCUACCGCUACAGGGUGCCGGAGGGCAGCCCGCUGACGCCGCUGCUCCAGGUCGUCGUCGCCGCCGUCAGGAAGAGGCGCCUCGCGCUGCCGGCCGACGCCGGCGAGCUGUACGAGGUCAAGCCGCAGAAUAUCAAGAAGAGGCUGCUUUGCCACACCCACCAGCUCCGGUAAGAACUGGCGUUGCUUUCCUUUCCUUUCGCCGGCCAUUAAAGUGGUCGAUCGUGAGGUGCAAUUGCUGGCUACAAUUGUUGCAACCGUCGCUAGUGACCAGUGAUUGCGAUACGAGUUUAUCCAAUUCUGCUUCUUUCGGAUGAACAAAUCCGGAGCAAAUCUUUGAAAAGCAAAAGGGAACACAGAAACCCAGCAUUACAUUUACGAUGAAAUGUUGAGUGUGACGCAUGUGGUACGUGACGUACGUGCAGGUUCCUGGACAAGGCGGCCAUAGUGGAGCACGACGGCGGCGAGGACGCGGCCGGGCCGUGGCGGCUCGCGACGGUGACGCAGGUGGAGGAGACGAAGCUGGUGCUUGCCAUGGUGCCCAUCUGGGUGGCGACGCUGCCCUUCGGCAUGGCGGCGGCGCAGGUGUCCACCUUCUUCAUCAAGCAGGGCAGCAUGAUGGACCGGCGCAUGGGCCCGCACUUCGUUCUCCCGCCGGCGUCCAUCUUCGCGCUGUCCGCCAUCAGCAUGAUCGCCACCGUCGCGGUCUACGACAAGGUGCUGGUGCCGUUCCUGCGGCGCGCCACGGGCGGCGAGCGCGGGAUCAGCAUCCUGCGGCGCGUGGGCAUCGGCAUGGUGCUCGCCGUGGUGGCGCUCGCCGUGGCGGCCGUGGUCGAGCGUCGGCGCCUGCUGUCCCCCUCGCCGGCGUCCAUGUCGGUGUUCUGGCUGCUGCCGCAGUUCGUGCUGAUCGGUGUAGGCGACGGGUUCGCGCUGGUGGGGCUCCAGGAGUACUUCUACGACCAGGUCCCCGACAACAUGCGCAGCCUGGGCAUCGGGCUGUACCUGAGCGUGAUCGGCGCCGGGAGCUUCCUGAGCAGCCUGGUGAUCACGGCGGCGGACAGGGCGAGCUCCCGCGGCGGCCACGCCAGCUGGUUCGCCAAGGACCUCAACCGUAGCAGGCUCGACCUCUUCUACUGGCUACUGGCAUGCAUCGGCGCUGCCAACCUGGUGUUCUACGCGUUGGUCUCCACCAAGUACUCGUACAAGACCGUCAGCGGGGCCGGCAAGGUCGGCGUCGACAAGUCCGGCGACAUCGAGUGCGCCGCCGCCGCCUAGCUGAUCGAUCGAUAGCUAGCUGGAGAUCAUUAGCGGCUGGUAAUUCGAUUUAUAAGAUGUGUAUGAUAAUGUGUACUAUGUCAUCAGUUAUCGUGUGUGUCACUCUAGCUAGGGUACAUGUCGUCUCAGUGUCACAAGGAUUUAAUUAGCUGGGAUGGAUCGUUCGUGAACUCGCGUGUCGUGGAAUGUACUUGUACAAGUGCGGUUUGGUUCGUUGUAGCGGCGAUUUACCAUGUGCGUGAGCUCGGUUAAUUCGUGACGAGGAAAUGCCAAAAAGAAAUGGAAUGGCAAACGGGCGCGGCGGGCCGGGGAACUCGUCUCCGACUCCGGCGACGGCGGAAUCGCGAAGGUUAGGGGCGACGUUCCAAUAUGACGAUAGAUGGGGAGAAGUUGGGCUGAAACGCUCGGCCCGAAAUUAUUUAGUUACCGGGUUGUUGGUCGCCACGUUGUGUUUGGUUGAGUUGGGCUGAAAACAAAUUGAUUGGCUCAGUUGGACCGGGCUGAAAAAAGGAGUUGGACGGAGAUCGAUCUAAACGACGCUAGCAAAUCGAGUACUAGUUAUAUUUUCAAAUAGCGCGUUUGGUUGUGCUGUGGUUUUUGUAAAAGUAGGUGGGAGCUGUGAGCUGUAAAAAAGUAGCUGUGAGCUAUGGGCUGUGGAAAAGUCGUUUGGUGGAACCGUUGUAGUUUUUGGAAACACUUACAAGCGAACCCUACAUGUCAUUAAUAGUCCACCCCACUCAACCCUCUCCCUCUCUCAUUGACAAGCGGAUCCCGCUCGUCAGCCCCUUCUUCCUCCUCCUCCUGUUGCCAGUACCAAAGGAGCUCGUGCGGCUGCUCGCGGGGGAGCAGGUGUCGCCCCUGCUGGGAGCUCGCGCCAUGCCGCCACUAGCUGCUCGCUAAAGGAGGAGAGAGGGAGGCGGAGAGGGCUGUUGUCGGCGUGGUCGGUCGGCCGCCGCGUCGGACCCCGCCACCACCACUGGUAGCCCGCGGAAGGAGAGAGGAGCUCGUGGCUAAAGAAAAACAUCAGGAGAGAGGGGAAAGAAACGAAAUAGUAUGCAUGUAACGAGUGGCAGUGGAUAAUUUCUUCCAACUUGAGAAAAUCAAAAAUCCAAGGAAGCACCUCCCUAACUACUGCCAGAAAUGAACUAACUAAAAACUGCCAGUUUUUGGACGGAAAUAGCUGAACCUUUUCGACCCUUUAAUUGGAUUUUAACUUUUGGAAAACAAAAGCAGCCCUCAAAAGUCCAACCAAAAGGAGGCUUAACCAAUUACAUGCGCCACCAAGACAGAGAGACCACUAGCACUAGCACUAGCACUACCACUUUGUUCCUCGGCAAAAGCCGAGGUGGCUGGCAUUGGCUGCGGUCGACGGGUCAAGUAAGAAAAUGAAAAGAUUCUUAUCAGAUCCGGAGAUUCUUAACCAUCUGGCUGUGCGCAUGGUUAAGCAAACAGAAGAAACAAAACCAAGAUCGUGAAACAAAACCAAGAUCUGGCUGUGCGCAUGAUUACUUUAAAUAAUUUUGACUUGGCCUGAACCAAGAUGAUGAGCACAGUCAGAUCUUGACCUGAACCAAGAUGAUGAGCACAGUCAAAAUUAUUUAAAGUAAUUAUCCUGCAGUAUUUAACUCUGGGAAAAGGUAAAGCAAACCUGUGUGAGUUCUGCGUCGCGGCGAGCAGUGGAGGAAGGAGCCGUGGCCGUCUCGCCGGAGCGCGGCCACGUCCUUCGAUCUUCUGUGGCCACGAUCACACACACGCUGCUCCGACUAAGCAGCAAGGCAGGCUCAAGGCUGUGCUCCAGUGGCACAGAAGAUCCGGGCAGGGUUUGUUGUUGCACGAUGAAAGUGAGCCCAUGAAAGUGGCGCUUUCUUCCCUCGAUCUUAUCUCUGGUGACUCAUUUCCGCAUGUGACUCUCGGGACUUAUCAGUUUGUAUCUUCGGUCUUUUGGCAUAUACCCCCUCGUGCUAUCAAGUGUAUUAUUUCCUCAUGGGGGCACCUAUGUUAUCUACAAAUCGAAAAUGAGCCCGUAUUUUACUUACCCUAGUGCAAACCAUUUGUGCAGCUUUUUAUUAACGAAAAAGCUAUCGAGUGCAAAGCUAUCUUUACACUCCUAUAGAUCCUGUACACUAUAACGAGACGAUGUUCGGCUUCUCUACAUCUCCUACUCAUCAUUCUAAUAGGUUAGGUGUUAAGAUUUGGUAUCCUUUGAGCUUAGGAGAUAUCUAAUACAGUAGAUUGAAACUAGCAGCAUUAGAACCAUCACAUGUGGGCGGAACAUUGUUGUGGUCAAGGUGGGCUAUGCCUCCCUUGCAAUUUAGAAUUGCUAGGAGUACUUCUUAACAAAUGACGAUAUUUUAGUUUAUAUAUGGCCACCCAUCUUCUCUCUAAGCGUAUUUAGCCAUCCCCUCUAAAAGUGAAUUCAAGCUCCGCCGCUACAUCAAUAGUAGACAAUUCAUGGCAACAUUAGAAGGGAAAGCGACAACUUGGUUAGCCAGAUUAGGAAGAGUGUAGUGAUCCAUCAUCACUCGAAAAAUAAAAAAAGACAAAAGGACCGGUGGUGAUAAGCACCGGGUGAAAACAACACGACUCGAAAUAUGAAACCAUCAUCCUAGACUCCCAACAAAUGGAGUGCAUCAAAUAAGCCCUUUUUCUUUUUUAUCGCAAAAUUUUUUCUAUAGUCCUUUAUAAUUUCGCACUCUAAUUUCAUCACAGUAGAGGGGUUGUUCUUCAAGUUGCCUGUUUGUCUAUUGCCACUUGCUCGCUUACCAGUGGGCGAGCAGACACGGCACACGGGCUUGGUGCCUUGUCCCCGCGGAGGGGUCCCCGGGUUUCCUUCGCCUUCUAUAAAGAAGGCUUCUAUUAGCCGCGUACAGAUAGAUAAGCAGCAACUCCAGUCCAACCAAAGCACAAACGGAAGAGGAGAGGAAAGACACCCGUUUCUAACAAGACCAAUUCUUGCAAGGAGAAGCAGACAUGAGAACCCAAGUGUUCUUCCUCACAUUCGCCUUGCUCGCAGUGCUCGCGCAAUCCAGCAACAGGCACCACCACCACUCCCAUGUUCAGAGCAAAGGUACCGGAUCUUCUCUUUGUUCUUGCCCAAAAGUCGCUUCUUUUCUUGACAUCGGAAUCCAAGAAUUGCUUGACCUAUUUAAUUUUCUAGUUUCCAAAUAACAAUCAAAGAGUUCGAGAUUCGUUUGAUUUUUCUUGUUACAAGUAUGCAUCAGUUUGGUUUACUCGGUUUGGAAUCUGUCUCUGGUUUCAGGGCAUGGAGGGGGAGGAGGAGGAGGAGGAGAGCUAGCGAGCCGGGGGAAGGCGGCGGCGCGGGCAUGGCCGUGCUGCGACAACUGCGGCGGGUGCACCAAGUCGAUCCCGCCGCUGUGCCAGUGCCUGGACGCGGUGCCCCGCGGGUGCCACCCUGCCUGCCAGGACUGCAUCAAGUCCAGCCUCAGCGCCGAUCCGCCGGUGUACCAGUGCAUGGACCGCGUCCCCAACUUCUGCGACCGCCGCUGCACCGCCGCCGCCGCCCACUGACCGGCCGGCUGAGCGAACGACUGAUUGCUGUGGAUUAUAGAUUUUUGUGUGUAGAGAGAGAGAGAGACGAGGAAUCUGUUCGUCUGAUGAGCAACCAACCAAACCAAUCUUGGGAUUUUUUUUCUCCUUUUGUUUUUUUGUCUUUUGUCUUGACACUGCUCUUUGCCGGCUACUACUGCUUGGUUGACUGUUCUUGGUUGCGACUUGCGAGGAGAUAAGCACGGUGAAUCACCGGAAUUUGGAAAAAAAAAUUGCUUUCCUUGCUGGUUUUUUAGCUUGGUCACGCCGACCCUGCCUCGGAUAAUUGAGGUCCACGCCACACGAGCUUGGCCGAUUUUUCGUCUGGACAUUUUUGGGAACACAGAUGCUGCCUCAGUGCCUCUCUGUCAGGGAUGCAGGAUGAUGGACCUGGACGCUAAUCCGGUCUCCGGCGCGACGCGAGGCCGAGGACGAGUUCCAGGGUCAGAUUCACCCUCCAAAACGACAGGGGUGUUCUCACUGAUCCGAUGACAACAGGCACUGCAAGUGGAGACUCCUACCCCGCACUCGCACUCGCACUCGCAGAUGCGCAUUUUCCGCGAGGAUAUGCGGCAAACAUGCAGCGUCUGAAUUUGGAGCCUAGUUUCUUUCAAAAAAAAUAAAGAAUUUGGAGCCGAGGUGGGGAUAAAGGCAGGGAAUAUGUCAUCCAAGGAAGAAACUAGCUGCGGUGUAUCUGCAUACGUGUUCUUGGUCGAGAAAACUAUGCUGCUACUUGCAACGUGGUAGCAUUGGACACUACAAAUUCAUGAAAAAUCAACAAACUGGUGGAAUUUUCUUUUUUCCAGAGUAGCACGAAAAUCAACAAACGUUCUCUUUUGAAGUCAGGAGAAGGAUUCACUAGUGCACAGCUCUGGUGGAGUUUUCUUUUUUCCAGAGUAGCACGAAAAUCAACAAACGUUCUCUUUUUGAAGUCAGGAGAAGGAUUCACUAGUGCACAGCUCUAAUUUUUUUUGAGGAAAUUGCAGAGCUCUAACAAAGUUUAGAUUAGUACGGAGCUCUAUUUUUUUAGGAAAUUGCAGAGCUCCAAUAAAGUUUAGAUUAGUACAUAGCUCUAUUUUUUUUAGGAAAUUGCAGAGCUCUAAUAAAGUUUAGAUUGAGCAACUCCAAGAGUCUAAAAAAAAUCUCCUCCAAAACUAUCUAUUGGGGACUCUACUAAAAAUUUAUUCUCUUAAAAUCAUGUCAUCCCACAAUAAUAAACUUCCCAAUACUUCAAAACUGACCACGUCAGCACCAAGUAGCUUCAAAAUGCGCCGCCCAUGCUCCGGCCGUGCCGCGUCGGCGGCGGCCUCCGCUCGCUGCUGCUUCUGCUCCUCUUCACCGUGCUCCUCUCCGUCGCCACCUUCUCCCUCCACUCCCCCGACCCCCUCGUCGUCAUCGACGCGCCGCCGUGGAAGCCACAGCUAAUUCGCCCAGUACGGCGGGCCAAUCGUGGCCCUACCCGCAGCAACAUCGGGGCGCACUCCGGUCUCAGCAGCAGUAGACCGGGCACGUACCACCCGCCCGGUCCCACCCAUCGAUGCCGCACCCCGCGUGGAAGAAGUGCGGGCACGGUAGCACCCGCAUGAGCUCGUCGCCCCCGGCGGUGUAGUCGAACAGCCAGAUGUCGCAGCGCUUGCCCGCAUUCCCGCCGCCACCUUCACCUGGGCGUACGUCACGAGCGUGUUGGCACCGAGCGCGCGCUCGCUGUCGUCGUGCACCGCGCCGCCGGUAGGCUCGUAGGCGCACGAGGAGGCGGCGGCGGAUCGGAGACGCUCUUCCACUGGAAGAGCAUCCGUUGGGCAGUGCGUCCAUUGGGCAGCAACCGCGAGCGUUUCAGAGCUCUUAUACUACCUGGAGGCGCCACCGCAGCGUCUUGGAGUGAACGCCACUGCGCCGUCGAUGGAAGGGAGGCGGAGGAAUUGAUGGAGACUACGAAGGACCGGAUCGAACCCGCGCGCCGGCGAAGUCCAGUGGCGUCUCGUGGCCGCAACAACUUUUGAAGUACCACACCGUUAUGUCCUCCACCACUACCUCGAGCACGCACCGCCACUCCCCCGACGGUGUCCAUCACCCACACACGUGCACUCCCUUGACGCCGUCAUGCGGCAGAGAGCAAUUGGGCUGCUUGUCACGGAUGUUGAAGCCACAUUGCCGGAGCCGCCCGCUAGUGGACCUGAGGGACCGCACCAUGCGCUCCACGGACCCCUCCGCGAUGGGCGGCUCACAGAGCACUGUGGCGUGACCGCACCGCCGGCUCAGCCAGUAGAAGCACGUGUCGACAUGGAUCCCAGGGGACGCGGUGUUGAGGCAUCGAGACAUGCCCUGGGCGCCGAGCGUGGUCGUGGCUCAUCUCCCGGUCGCGGAGGUGAAAAACGCCACGAGGACGCGCCGGAAGCGGGUGCGGGUGAGGAUCAUGACGGUAAAGGAGACUACGAAACAGUACUAGAGCGAUCCGAGAAAAACGAUUCGAGGUGAUUGUGGAAGAACCAGUAUGCGGGGCGAUGGAGGUGCUUUUAGCGUCCAUGCAUUUUUACGUGGAGGAUGCAGGGUUGUUGGAGGUAAUUUUUUUUUGUUUUUCUCCAAAAUAAGAUUCUGGGGUAAUUUUGAAGGAGCUCCUGUAGUUGCUCUAAGUAUCAACAAGCACAAACCAGAGAACAGGCUUGUUGGGCCUGUUAUCCGAGCGGUUCUCAUAGAAGCAAUGGCCCAAAACAAGAAAAGGCCCAAAGAGGCCCAGGAGUUCUCGGCGGCAGAGCGGAGAAUCGUUCGGUUCUGUCUGCGAGUUCUUUAGUACCACCUCGGCUGCUGAAUGCGGACGCGCCGCAAGCUCCCGCUAUAAGAUGAGCGCCCCGUGCCCCGUUGCUCCAUACUUACCUGGACGGGGUCGACGGGCGAUCAAGAAGGCCCGUGGCCUAGGUCAGUGGCCCGCAUUGCACUUGGCGGGUGCGCUGGCUUACCAUCUCCCCAAGUGGGAGAGUGGACGUCAUAAUUUGUGGUAGAGGGGGUACGCGUUCGCGCGGCCCCCACCAAUUCUAACAAAUCAAAAUGUUGUCCUUAGCCCUCUGGGCUGUCUCUAGAAACAGGGGCGUUGCUGCAAUUUGUGGUAGAGGGAGUAUUUUACUCGUAUUAAAAAAAUAUUAGCAGUUUCUAGUUGUAUGGUUUGAUCUGAAUGGUUGAAAGAAAUAAAGUUGCGUUAUUUUAUUAGCACGUGCAAAGCCACGCGGCCAAGCUGACCCAGCCAUGGCGACCCAUGGCCUUCUCCCCUCGUCACUCUUCGCAUCCACCACCGCCAUUCGCGCCAUCGCAGCGCCAACCCGCACCUGCCACCGCGUACUCUCCUACGGCACCCGCCGCCGCCGCCCCCUGGCCUUCGGCCGCCGCGCGCCGGCGAUGGACGCCCUCCGCGUGACGGGAGCCGCGGAGCCGCUCCUCCGCCCCUCCGUCGGGGGACACCCCAGGCUCCGCGUAUGCCGCUCGACUUAACCCCCAAUCGGCGGCUAAACAUAGCCGUUGCGCGCCCCCUGCUAUUCUGGGGAGGAAGGCGGGGUCUGGUUGGCGGUGAAGGUCUGACGACAUGGAGGUCGAUGUGCAGGUGCGGACCCAUGCGCAGGGCGAGGGCGAUGCCGGGCGUGGCGCCGCCGCGGAGGGGGACGCGGCCUUCUCGUGGGCACCCGUCAUACUCCCGUAAGCUAUCUGUCAGCCACCUCUCGAAUUUUAGCAUUUGGAGAUUAUCUGGAGUGCGGGGUAGGUGUUGAAAUCAGAAAGGAUGCAUUUAUGGUCUGAUUCGACCUUGCACACGUUCUGAUUGAAGCAACCGAUUAAACUGUGAUCCUUCACUGCAUAGACAGUUUAAACUGUGAUGCUUCAACAUGGAGCAGUCAUAGAAUGUAUGAUGAUGCAGAGUAAUCUAGGAUCUGUUUAAUAUUUCUGUACAGACUGAUGCUUGCCAUAGCAAUGCUUCUUGGUGUAGAGUUUCGAGAAUAAACAAAUAAAAUGGGGUAAUCAGGAAGCCUAUCCAGAUUGCAGCCUUGCAGUACUGAUAGAUCACUGUUCGGAACCUAGGUUCUUGUUCCCUGCAUUGGGCGGUCUCCUUUUCGGCUAUGACAUUGGCGCAACCUCUGGAGCAACAAUCUCUGUACAAGUUAGUCCCCGUUUUGGUUUUUUCUGGAAUUUCCUCUAGCUGACAUACAGUCUCACUGCCACUGGGUGUAUUCUUCUUCAGUCUGCUGAUCUCAGUGGCACCACUUGGUUCAACCUGUCAUCUGUGCAACUAGGCCUUGUGGUAAUCCAAAUUUCUGUGAUUCCUAAGCUUUUGUAUCUCCCUUUUCAUAUCAAUUAUCAAGAUCCAAAUGAGUUUCCUUUUCCUUUUAUUCAGGCAAGUGGUUCACUUUAUGGAGCUCUUGGUGGCUCUAUUCUCGCAUACCGCAUUGCAGAUUUUCUAGGUGAACUGAAAAGCUAAACCAAUUUAAUUGUCCUUACCAUACUUGUUUGAUAAGGGGGUGAAUAACUUCUACCAUCUUGAUACAGGAAGGAGAAUAGAGUUGGUCACCGCAGCUGCAUUAUAUAUUCUUGGUGCUUUGGUCACUGGAUUUGCCCCUAAUUUUGUAGGUCUAAUCAUAGGCCGUAUCCUUUAUGGGAUUGGUAUUGGUUUGGUGAGUACCUGCAGGCACAAAUCUUCUUCCUCCCUAAGAUGAUCCCAGGUUACUGUUAUUAAAAAAAAUCUAAUUUACGAAUGCGUAUAAAAGUGAUUUUCUGGGGAUGAUAAGUACAUUCACUCAAGCUGAGUAACCUGACAAAAUUGUUAUAAACUUAUAAUGUCAUGAUGCCUCAUUAUAGUUUUCUGAUAUGCUAAUCAUUUACUGAAGUGUGAAGUAGCAAAACUAAUUGAUGUCACUGUAGCUUGAUGGUCAUGUUCUGAUAUAACUAAUUAUGGAAUAAGUAGAUAUAAAACAUUCCUGCACUUGAUUAUUCUGAUUCCUAUGAUGGGGUAGAACAUAUUCACUGGUACACCGCAAAAUCAAGCUGGUUGUAUUGCUAAGAUAUUUAAUAUAAUUUUCUUCUUUAAUUUCUGGGGUGGUUACAUUGCGUGUAGCACUUUACCCUAGCCUUUUUGACACCAACUUUCAACAUCCAUAAGCAUCAAAAUUUCCAUGGUUCCAUGCUUUCUUAAAAUGGGAUUCGUAGCAAUUGAAGAGAAUUACAGUUGCAAAGGAGCAUAUGAAUAUUUAGCUAGGGGUUUGGGAGAGUUUAUAGACCAAUGCUGUCCUAAAACAUUUGGUGUUAUGCCACUGAACCAUUAUGGUGCUAUGUGCCAGGCAAUGCAUGGUGCCCCACUUUAUAUUGCAGAGACUUCUCCUCCGCAAAUACGUGGAACAUUGAUAUCUUUGAAGGAGCUGUUUAUUGUGUUAGGAAUACUGGUAAUUAUCUAGUCUUCUGUAUAUUAUACUUUAAUAUACCCAUUUCAUGCCUGCUGACCAUUAAAUAUCUUGCGCAGUUCGGAUAUCUUGUAGGAAGUCUUGAAAUUGACAAUGUAGGAGGAUGGCGGUACAUGUUUGGUUUUGGCGCUCCGCUUGCAGCUAUCAUGGCUAUUGGUAUGUGGACUUUACCACCUUCACCAAAAUGGUUACUUCUCAGGGCAGUUCAAGGAAAGGGGUCUAUGGAGGAUAAUAAAAAGAAGGCAAUUCAAGCCCUUAGAACGUUGAGGGGCCGCUCAACAAGUGAAAAGGUUUUAGCAGAUGAUGUUGAAGAUACCAUUGUCUCUAUUAAGGCAGCCUAUGCAGGACAGGAAGGUGAAGGGAAUAUUUGGGAGGUAUUUGAAGGAGCUAGCUUGAAGGCCUUCACCAUUGGAGGAGGUCUUGUUCUGUUUCAGCAGGUAUUUUGUUCUCUUUAACCCAUGUAUUAGCAGGUUAUUCAAGUUAAAGUUCUGGCCAUGCUCUUAUCUUUUAUUUUUUUAAUUUUAUGCCCUUUUUUUAUCUAUUUUCAAAAUACGGAUGAAUGCUACUUCUUUUUGAGUGGUAGCGUAGACAUGCUGGAUUUUUGUUAUAAAGCUAAACUCUUACUUGACAGAUAACAGGCCAGCCAAGUGUUCUAUAUUAUGCAGCUUCGAUACUUCAGGUACCAAUAUUUUGCUUGGAAUUGUUUGGUGGUAUAGUUUUUAUAUAGAAAAUGUAGAAGUAGGAUACUGUUAUCUGCCCUAUACAUUUCUUGAAUUCAUACAACUCAACGUCUCCAUCUCUAAAGUAUGCCUUAUGUAGACUGCUGGGUUCUCAGCUGCAUCAGAUGCUGCCAGAGUGGCAAUUUUGAUUGGGUUGUUCAAGGUAAUGCAGAAGAUCUACUUCAAUACUUGUAUAUUAGCUGUUUCUGAAUCAUUCUGUGUAGGUAAAAAUGUAAGGAUCUUAUGCUUUCUAUUAGUUUUGAGUUUGUGUAACAAUUCUAUUCUUCGCAGUUGCUAAUGACAGGUGUUGCGGUACUGAAAGUUGAUGAUCUUGGAAGGCGCCCAUUAUUGAUAGGAGGUGUUGGUGGAAUUGUGAGUAUUUGUUCCUUCCUGUUAUUUGAUUAAGUUCUACAUAUUACAUGGAAAGCCCCAUACACACACUUGAAUUCAGUUUGGCAAUUCCACUAAACAUGAACACUGACAAUACUAAUAUUUUAGGUAAUGUAUUAGACUACAACUCUACAUUAGAAUAAGAUAAUUGGUAAACGUAGUAACUUUGUGCAUGUUCUGUCAGGUUUGCAUUCCUAUGUUCUAACUAAAUUGCCUUAUGUUAUCUGUAACCUGUAAAUGCAGGCUCUGUCACUCUUCCUUCUUGCAGCUUACUACAAGAUCCUGAACAACUCCCCCUUUGUUGCUGUUGGCGCUUUACUUCUUUAUGUUGGUGCUUACCAGGUUGGUGCGUUAUUCUGCACGGGGAGCCUGACAAGCACAGCAAUAUUUUUUUCAGGAAUCCACAAAAAGCUUAUACAUCCAUGUGUUUCAGGUCUCAUUUGGUCCAAUUAGUUGGCUAAUGGUGUCUGAGAUAUUUCCACUGCGAACAAGAGGGCGUGGGAUCAGCCUUGCGGUACUAACAAAUUUCGGCUCAAAUGCGUUGGUGACAUUCGCGUUUUCACCCUUGCAGGUAUUGCUUCUCAAGUUCUCAUAUUGCUACCUCCUGGCUCCUGACGUGCAAUUUCAUGAUGUUUAGUUUCUGCAAGUGGAGUCCCCAAAUUACAUGAACAACUAAACGUGUCAAUACCUAGUAGUUGCGACCAAUGAAUCCUUUCUCAAUAAAUACUCAUUUUUAUCCUUGUCAUAGAAAAACUGCUGUUCCCUGUUCUAUGGUCCAAAUUCAGCAUCUUAUCAGGUCCAAACUCCAGACUAGUGUUUAUUUUUGUGUGUGUAUUUCAAAACUCCACCCUCUGCCAACUGAUCUCCAACGCUGGGGUUACCGGACUAGUGUAUUUUGGCUAUCUAUUCGAAUACUGAUAUAGCCUUUUUCAUUUUGCACAAAUACGGGAACAAACAAUACGUGCAGUUCUGCCAACAAUUUAUAUUUCUCUUUUCACCACAGGAAUUCCUUGGGCCAGAGAAUAUAUUUUUCCUGUUUGGGGCCAUAGCAGUGCUCUCCCUUGUGUUUGUGAUCCUCAAUGUUCCCGAGACAAAAGGACUGAGCUUGGAGGAGAUUGAAUCUAAGAUCCUGAAGUAAAAUGGCGUGGUCAAGGCUCCACAAACCCCGGUUGUUGGCCAGAAAGAUUAAUGCCGUUUACAACAUGGAUGCUCACUCGUAGGAUCAGAGUGCGUCAGUCUCAGACUUAGUAGCGCAGUUCACGUCUAGAUGUAAAGUUUUUCCUUCUUGUAAUUAAUAUUUCUGGAUAUGCAUUUGUAGCUACCAAGUCAUAACCACGUCCCAAUUGUCCAUUGCAUCUCAUCCCAUAGCAGCAGUAAGUAAUCGACUAAUCGUCGUGUUCUUGUGACUAUGCUGUAUGUGCUGGUGAGCUGCCGCAAUGAGGACGUCCCCAGUUACCCCCACUGUUUAGUUUUUGUUUUCUGGAACUAUUUUACCCCUACUGUCUGCUGGUGUGAAACUAUGCUGCAGAAAUUUGUUUGUACUUGCUCACUGAUGCUUACCUGUUUAGGUAAGCUAUUUUUCUCUGUUUUAUUUCCCGAAAAAAAAGGAAUGCCGAUGGGGGAACGGCGGAUGUCUUGGGAAGUAGUUUGGCGAUGGAGAAAAGCCAGCAUUACUGUCACUACUGCUCACAGAUGGAUGCAUCUGCAACUAGACUUUGUUUAGCAUCAGGACUGGAGUGUCACCGAACCAAACAGACAUCACAAUCAAGGAGCUCAUGAACAGAAAUGUAAAUCUGACCGACACAUUUAAUACUUGCUUAUCCAGCAUUUGAUUACUACUUAUCCUAACGCAUCUGGCCCAUAUUGCGCGUCCUGGUGGGGUUUGGAAUCGUGCAUUAUAUACUCUUGAUUCAGGAAUAAGCACACCACGGCAACUACUCCGUAUUCAGAUUUUUUUAUAACAAAAUGCAUUAGGAAAUUGAUCCGGUAUCCAGUGUGCUAUUUUUCGUAGAAUUUUCAAGAUAUUGAGGUACGCAACGGAAAUAUGAAAACACAUGAAAAAUGACAUGUCCUGUCGUGUCAUCGUGUGUGGUCACUGAGCUGAGCUUUCAUGCGUCUCCAUAUAGCUGACUAAGCUGAGCAGUUAGGUUCUUGCUUAUCAAACACGUAAGAAUGCAAACACUAACUAUAAAGUUAUAUAUUGUUCCAGGCAGGACUGCGAGAAAGGGAGAUUCUUCAUCCAGUUCGGUUGCGAUUCAGAAGUGCGAGUAGUACAUGAUCAACAAGGAGGGAGGGAACACGUCGUGCCGACUUGAUUGCCUCCAUCGUGGUGGCGGCAGCAGCAGCAACCCGACCGACGAGUCAGUCGCCGAGUAUGAAGUGGGAGCGAGACCGACGACGAUGUGAACCUCCCGCCCAGACCACGACAAGCGGGGGAUCCCGGCGACCUCGUCUAGUCUGGGCGUGGCGGCCGGAGGCCAUGGUCAUGCCCUGGCUGUUGCAGCCUGGCCAUGGUCCAGUUGCCAAAGUCUCCCAGGUCCCAGCGCUAUUCUUUCGGUGCUACACGACGUGCACGUUCCCUCGUGACGUGACGUGGACUUGCACACCAACAAAAGUCUCGGGCUCCGCCGUGCCGGGACGACCCUCCCUCUUGCGCGCGCACACGCGCUCCACGUGCAGGCUCCACGGCUUUCUAAUCUUACCAGCCAUGCUCCACCACCAAACAAUUAAUCCUAGUCUAGAUUCCAAAAGCAAACACCCAGUGCCAUGCACCACAGUUGCACAGGUGAUAAAAAGCACUAUGACUUGUCAAGCAAACUCGUGUUACCAGGCUAGCAGCUACCGUUCCAAUCCACCCGUCGCGCGUCAAGACUACUCGUCCUUUUCAUCAAACAGCAAUGCGACGGACGGUGCGAGUGUGACAACACUCUUAGUAUGACUGACGAUUAAGGAUGGCUUGCUUAUUACUCCCUUCACGUCGUUUUGAUUUUUUUAAUUCAUAGAUAUUAUCACUACUAGGAAAAACAGCUCUAGUAUCGGUUGAGAACCCUCCUCUAGUAUCGGUUUCGCAAUCGGUACUGGCAAUUCGGUACUAGAGGGGUAGAGGGGGAUCGUUUAGUACCGGUUGAAAUAACCGGUACUAAAGGGUAUUAAAAAAAUUAAAAAAACAAAAAUCCCCCUCCCCCGCCGCCUGCCCCUCCACCCGAAGCCGCUCAACCGGCCACUCCCCGCCGCCCCGAUGGCCGCCGCCACCGUGCCUCGCCCCACCGCCACUCCUCACCUCAGGCACGAGGUGAAGGGUGAGUGGAGGGGGAGGAGAGGGGAGGCCGGGGAGGGAGGGAGGGGGCUGGUAGCCUGGAGAGGGAGAGGGAGCGGAUGGAGAGAGGAUAUGAGGAUGAGGGAGGUGGAGCGGAGGGAGCUGAGGAUAAGGACGACCACUAAGGGGGCCAGUGCUUGGCGCGCGGACGGAAAACACUUCAGUACCGGGUGGAGCCCCCACCUGGUACUGAAAGGGGGUCACGGAAGGCUCCUCGGGGACUAUCCAUUAGGUUCGGUACUAAACAUUAGUAUCGGGCUAAAAAGUGACCGGUACUAAGCCUUAGGAUGAGAGGUCAUUUUUCUAGUAGUGUAUUAUGUACCUAAACACAUACUAACCUAAAAAUGAUCUACAAUUUGGAACAGAAGGAGUAGUAUUCAGCUAGCAUUGACUAAGCAAGCAAGUUCAAUUCUUUGCUGGGACGAUGGUGUCCUAAUUUUAUUUCGAUUGGUGACGAGGUGAGUUGCCUGAUGUAUCUGGCCCAUAUGGCGUCCUGGUGGGGGGAACGGGAUCGUGCAUCGUGCCAGCCGGGAAUUAAUAGAAGAGGUCACAAACUCACAAUGAUCCCAACCAGGCGUUGGGUUAAUUAGUGGUUCUAUAGGGACUUUGGAAUCCAAAAAAUACUCCUUUUAGAAAGACAAGCAAGGAAUCAAGCGCCGCGCACCUGACCGGGAAUACGGACAGAAUUCUGCCAUUCAGCACUAGUGCUAAUCAAGCGAAGAUUUCUAACGGUGAAAUCUGACUAUCAGUGACGCUGGUGCUCCCAUUUUUCUAAAUUUAUUUUGGAAUUUAACCGUCGCUAUUCUUUCAGUGGUAGACGGCAUGCCUGUUGACAGCGAGACGAUAGUGGUGCCUUAAUUUUUCGAAGGUGCUUAUAGGAGUAAGGUUGCGUGCGUGUAUUCGUAAUGGUGAGUCUGCAUACAUGUACGUGAGUGUCUGCAUGUGAUUUGAGAAAAAAUAGUAGUGUUAAUCAACAAGGUAAUUAACCCGUCGUGCUGACUUGAAUGCGUCGGCAGCUGCCGGUUGAACCUGGCUCGCCGAGUGACUGAGAGUGAGACUGCCAACCUGCCCAACGAACGAGGGACAGACACUCCCCUCUCCCUUACUUCGUUGUCAAGACGUGUGUUUGGUUGCUUGUAUUAUUUGGUUCGUAUAUGGAAUAGUUUAAAAUAAUAAUAAUUUUUUUAUUUGGUUGGGUGAAUUGUACCGACCUAUCUAGGAUGAAGUCAUCCCACUCAAUACAUUAUUCUAUAAAUAAUUAUGAACUAUAUGGUACAAGUAAAUUGAUUGAACCUACGAUCAAAUAUCAUCCAUAUAUGCAUUGCAGUCCUCGGUCCCGGAGUACGCCUGCGACCCGCGAACACACCGUCCGUCACGCCUGUUCAAUCAGCUGUUCACAGUUGCUGCUGCCCAUGGGCCUCACGUGCUUCGAUCUAGAUGCCUAGUGCCCACUUUGAGCAUCUUCCCCAUGAUAGUCUUCUUCUGACCAUCUUUCUUGAACGCAUACAUCACUUGAGCACCGUAAUCCUGUGCUCCAUCUGCGAAGGCCCAUCUAUAUGCAUGUCACCUAGGUGUUAGGGCUUCAAAGAACUGAACUUUGAGAUCGCUUUUGGUGGCUAGGAGCAACUUCACACGCUGACAUCAUGCAUUUCUUUUUGAACUAAAUUAAGGGCCUGUUUCAGCUUAGCUUCUCGGGUCUACUUUGGAAAGCUGAAACAAACAGUCCAGCUGUUGAAAUUGCUUUUGGAAAGCUAGCUUCUGAGGAAAUGAACUGAAAGCUGGAAAGCUAACUGAGAGGAGCUUUUCCUAACUUUUGGUGUGUUGAGAAGAUAAAAAUUUAUUACAAAAGUCAAUAGCAAAAGAUCAGCAAUCAAAAAGUCAAUUUUCACAUAGCUAGCUUUCCAGCCAAAAACUCAGGACGUUCGGCGGGCCUGUCCUCAUUGUUGUUUUUUCUUUUUUGGGAUAAUACGCUUGGUAGCAAUCUUUCUAACUAAAUCUAAGGACACACAGGAUAUGACAUGGACGAUAGGAGAUGAUUAUGAGAAGAAUGUUGUUGGUGCACUACACGGGCAACCACAAUGUGGUAGAAAAGUAGUCCAUAUGUACUUUUAUUUUCCAUUCAGCCACCUAGUAACAUUGUGCAAGUAAUCCAUAUGUAGGAGUACAAAUUAAUUUUCGGUUAUCUAUAGGAAAUGGUAGUGUUAAUGGCAACAACAUGUUUUGGAAGUGGAUAUAUAACACACAAAUUCCGUACCUUUUUGUGUGUUCGAGAGGAUCCGUGUCCCAACUAGUUUAGUCUUGUUUGGCGAUGACACAUGCACCUACAUCCAGGACCUUAGGGUUAGGAUUAGUGGGUUUUCAAUGUUAGAACUUGGGUUUUACCAUUCUCCGAAAACAGAUGCAAGGGAAGAAGGCAAUCUUGGCAGUGGAAUCAACGGUGCAUUGACAUUAGGGCGGAAUGUAGUGAAGCAGCGGCAUGAAGAAGGUAGCUAAGUAUAAUGGUAUUACAAGGGUGAUGGGAGACGACGAUGAGCAGAAUGUUGCGGCUUGCCGAAGCAUAACCUACUAUUGUGGUUGGAGCACCGACAAGUAUGGGCAACCGUACAGCCGUAGAGGAGAGGGGAGGGUGAGCCGAUCAGGGAUGUUAGGUAAUUUUCUCUUAAUGAAAUACGUGCUAGUGAAAAAAAGGACGUUAGGCAAACAGAUGGGAGCAAUGGAAGAAGGAAACGACGUCAAUGUUUGAUCACCUAAAAAUCGUGUGUUUUCAGCAUUAGAAUCACUAUGAGUGAGAAGUAGACAGGUAAAAACCUCAAGUACCAUGCCACUACUUGCACCAGUCGCAGUAUAGUGUCCAAUAAACCCACAAAUGCAGCGUCAAGACCUGUCGUUCCUACCUCUCCGAUCCUAUGAAGCGAGCAGCCAGCCAGCGCCGUUCCCUCUGAUGCCGUCCACUUCCACGUCCCUCCCGUGCUGCCGUGCACGACAAACCCAGGCGCUCGUGCCGGUGUAGCCAUAGCCCCGAUGACUUUGACGACGCGCUGGGAUUGUUGCGGCCGGAAGCUAUAAGCCGAGCACGCCGGCCGAUCGCUGAGAGAUCAACGUGUCUUGUUCCAGCUCCACCAUGGCGUCUGUUCUUGCCGCGGUGGUGCCCGUCCUGCUCGCUCUUCUGGCUCGAAGCGGAUCACCGGCCGCAGCCGGCGCCGCCACCGAGUUCGUUCUCGCCGGCUUCGCGGGUGCGAACUUGACGGCCAGCGGCGCGGCCGUGGUCACCUCCUCCGGCCUCCUUCGGCUCACCAACGAGACCAACGAGGCGUUCGGGCACGGCUUCCACCCCGCACCGCUGCGGUUCAAGGACGCCUCCACGGGCGCGCCGGUCUCCUUCUCCACCACGUUCGUGGUCGCCAUCCUGCCGCGCUACCCGGACGCGCACGGCCACGGGCUCGCUUUCGCGCUGGCGCCGUCGGCGACCGUGUCGGGAGCCGUGGCGGGGAAGAACCUCGGGCUUUUUAACACGUCGAACCACCUCGGGAAUGGGCAGAGCGAGGUCGUCGCUGUCGAGCUCGACACGGCGAUGGACGAGGAGUUCGCCGACAUCAACGACAACCACGUCGGCGUCGACGUCAACAGCCUAAAGUCCAAUUGCUCGAAGCCAGCGGGCUACGUCGCCGACGCCGGCACCGUCAAGCUCAACGUCAGCUUGGUCUGCGGGGACCCCCUGCAGGUGUGGAUCGAGUACGACGGCGCGAGCACGCGCCUCGAGGUGACCGUGUCACCGGCCGGCGUGCCCAGGCCGGCCGUCCCGCUUGUGUCUUGCGCCGUCAACCUCUCGUCGGUGGUGGCCGACGGCACGUACGUCGGGUUCUCGGCCGCGAACGGCGCUGCCUCGAGCUCGCACUACGUUCUCGGCUGGAGCUUUCGCCUCGGCGGCGGCCGCGCGCCGGACCUCGACCUGUCAAAGCUCCCGCGGGUCCCGUCGUCUAGGCCCAAGAAGACCAUGCAUCCGCAACUGGUCCUGGCGCUGAUCCUGCUUGCCGUCGUGGCGCUCCUCGUGGUGUCAGCGGGCGUCACGCUGUUCGUCGUCUGGCGCCGGCGGUUCACCGAGGUGGAGGAAGAUUGGGAGUUGGAGUACGGACCUCACCGGAUCAGCUACAAAGACCUGCACGCGGCGACCAGAGGCUUCCGCGACGUCAUCGGCGCCGGCGGCUUCGGCCGCGUGUACCAUGGCGUGCUCCGGCGGUCGGGCACGGAGGUCGCCGUCAAGAAGGUGGCCCAUGACUCGCGGCAGGGCUUGCGCGAGUUCGUCUCGGAGAUCGCGAGCAUGAGCCGGCUGCGCCACCGCAACCUGGUCCAGCUCCUCGGCUACUGCCGGCGACGGGGAGAGCUCAUACUCGUCUACGACUACAUGGUCAACGGCAGCCUCGACAAGCACCUAUUCGACGCUGAAAACAGGCCGGCGCUGAGCUGGGAGCGGCGCGCCAAGAUCAUCCGCGACGUUGCCGCCGGGUUGCUGUACCUGCACGAGGAGUGGGAGCAGGUGGUGGUGCACCGCGACAUCAAGGCCAGCAACGUCCUCCUCGACACCGACAUGAACGGCAAGCUCAGCGACUUCGGCCUGGCGCGGCUCUACGACCACGGCAGCGAUUCGCAGACGACGCACGUCAUCGGGACGCUCGGGUACCUCGCGCCGGAGAUGAUCAAGACCGGCAAGGCCACCCCGAGCGCCGACGUGUUCGCGUUCGGCGCCUUCCUGCUCGAGGUGGCCUGCGGCCGGAGGCCCGUGGAGUCACUCAGCAACAACAAUGCGGACCCGGCGGGGCUCGUCGACAACGUCCUCGAGUGCUGGAAGACCGGGAGGAUCAGAGACGCCAGGGACCCGAGGAUCGGCAAGUGCGACGAGGACGACCUCGAGCUGGUGCUCAAGCUCGGGUUGCUAUGCUCGCACCCUGAUCCCCGGUGCCGGCCGAGCAUGAGGCAGGUGGUGCAGGUACUGGAAGGCGCCGCGCCGGUGCCGGAGACGCCGCCGGAAGAUCUAGGCAGCAGCGGCAGGACCUUCGGGUACUACGAGACGUUCGAUGAGUUCCUCAACAUGUUCCCGACGACGAUCGAGGUGGCGACCGUCACGCCGCGCCUUGGUCGCACUCCAGCGCCGAACACCAGCACCUGAUCUCCGGCGGAGUUCUGGCUCUGCCAUCAGCUCUCGUCAAUAAAUUACAAAAUUCUCUUGUAACUAAAUUCAAAUUUCUCUUACCACUAAAUUGCUACAAAAUCGCUGUGAUGUGCUUAGGAUGGUUCAAAUUGGAAAGCAAACAGUUACAAGAUUAGGUGUUGUAAUAAUCUUGUCUAAAGAAGUGAACAUAGGUUGUCAGACAGUUUUAGGAUGAUCAAAGAGUGGUUUUGCUUUCAUAAGUCCUAACACCUAAUUAACCUAAUCGUUGAGGUUUUGUACGUGUAAUUUUUUUUCUGCAAGUGAGUAAUCGUUGAAGUUUUGUAUGUGUAAUCUUUUUUGUAAGUGACCAUAUGAGAUACUAUAAUCUCCGAAAUGUUUUUCUACAUAUUCAUCAUUUUAGAUUUAUAUAUUUUUGAGAUAACUCAUCUUGUAAGUGAUAAGAACUAAAGAUCAUGUUACCACUCAACCAUCAAAAUCACAAAUAAUAAUCUUUUUUUUCCUUAUAUCCUCCCUUCGUUGACCGCAACAUUGACCUACGCAUCAUAGAACAAGCAAACCGGUUCAUGCAACCCAAAAUCCCCACAUUUAAAACUCUGUACCUGUAAUGCAGUGUGCCGUUGCAUCCUCCUCAGUCCCACACGACACGAGCAAGGCAUCAGCCAUCACUCCCGUUUGUCACAAACACAGCCAAAUCCGAUCGAUGUGAACGGCAUCGACCGUUCACCCAGCUAUUCUCUGUCGUUCAUACCUGGUCGCUCGGUUCCCCAGCGAAAUAACAUAGGCAGACCCCCCGCACAUAGCUCUGGCCCAGAGAAUGACUUGAGAUCCUGGCAUCUCUCGAGCGAGCAACUCAGACAUUCGAGUGAUUGACCAUCGAGCCAACACGUGGGGUGGUGCCGACCUGAACGCAUCCAUCAUCGAGUGCCUCUGCCUGCCCAACGCCAACGAACGCCGGCCCGGACCUCGCUCGACCUCGUCGUCAACAAGGCCGGCCGGUCCCGGAGUACGGCGGCCAUACAUCCGGCCUGUGGAAUGCUAAUAACAUGGGAUGGACCUGGCUGGAGAUAUCCAGCAAUGACCACACGGUGUGCAUCGUCCCAAGCUGCAGAGUCAGUCAGUCGUCGUCUUCUAUCACAGCAAACGCAGUACAGUAUUUAAGUAGUGACAGCUACCUGUUCUUGGGUCCCUCUCUGAAUGUUGUACAUGUAUCCGCUGAAUCUGCAUGCAAAUACAGACGGCAGAAGUAGGGACUGAUGACUUGAGGUCUAGACGUCUAAUUAAGCUGAUGUCGACCUCUGGGUACGUAUGCUAUUUACCAAUUUACCACCAUGUUGUUGAUCAAGAUCAGAUAACCACGGUGCUUGUUGCCAGCCUAGAAGGUGCGGUGUGAUGGACAGAGACGGCGGUCACUGCUUGCGAGUGUGGUGCAUGCUUUUGCAUUGCCUGGCCGUUCGUCUGCAAUCGAUAUGAUGUUGUUCAGCUGCCGCGUAAGCUAGGCAAGUCGAUCCACAACUUGGCCGGCAAUUUGCAGUUUCCUUGGCUACGUUAUGCCUCUGGUUAGUACAGUACUAGCUCCAAACUCCCAACUGAAUGCAUGCGAAUGCAAACCACACAGAAGUCUCGAGCUGAAGGGGCCAUUAGCUGGGUAUGUGACAGGGAAUGCGAAUUUGACUUUUGGAAUGCAUGUCGUCGUUUUCCACUGUGAGAAUGACACCUCUACUUGUGUCAAAUUCAGCAAAAACCUAAAGAAUGAUUUGCAAAUUUUAGAUCAAAAAUUUUUACGUCAUAUAUGAAUUGGAGUUUUGCAAAUUCAAAGGUAUCUUAAAGUGAGACACUACACGGCAAAAGCAAUGUGGUGCAGUGCUCCAUAUGAAUAUGCAACACACAUAUAUAUCCUCACUGACAUUUUGCGGAGCUGAAUUUCCAGCAUCUAAAACAAAACAAAAAGGAAUGGGAAAUCUAUAUGUGACUUGAGUAUUCCCUUCAAUAAUUUCUUUUCCGAUUUCAGCUACAUGCACAUAUGACAUCCCUGCUUCAUGUCCGGCAAGAUCAGGGUUCCAGAUUUGGGGAAUUGGAGGCUGCAUUAGAGGAUUUAGAGGGGAGGGAUGUGAAUGAAGGUUAGCCUAGCAGUGGAGGGCCACGGUGGCCACAACGGUGAAGUAGCAUGUGACGGAGGAUGGGCACUGCUGGGGAUCGCCAAAGAACUAAACACCCUCGAGCGCCAUUCGUGGGCAUAGUUUUCCAAAUGGGCCGCCCGGCCCUAGCCCGGCACUAACCCAUCCUGGCCCAGCACUAAUAGGCCCGAAGGGUUUUCGUGCCGGGCUGGGCUGGCACUGCGUGCCGAGGAGGCAGCCCAGGCCCGGCCCGACGACCUUUUUAUCGGGCUGGGCCAGCCCACAACACGACGGGCCAUGCCGUGCUAGUGCCCGGCCCGGCACUAGCAGCAGCGGCCGGCUCCAGUUGCCCUCGGAGGGCGGCGACGGUCGGCGGCCGGCCCCCCGCGUCGGCCCCUGGCGGCGGCGGCGGCGGCGGCUGGCCCCCCGCGUCGACCUCGGGCAGCUGCGGCGGCCGGCCCCCCGCGGCAGCCUCGGGCGACGGCGGCUGGCCCCUUGCGGUGGGCAUGGCGACCACCGUCGCCAAGCAAGCAGGAAGGUGGGACUGUGGGAGGACCCUGGGAGGCGGACGGGUGGAUGGUCAAAUGGGGGGAAAUUGAAAGUAUAAGUAGGGUUCUGCAUUUAUAUGGUAGUUAGAUCGGGCCACAUCGGGCCGGUCCAAAAAUCAUGCCAGGCUCAUGCUGGCCCAGCGUGCCGGGGAGGCGGCCCAGGCCCGGCACUAUCAUCGUGCCGGGCCAGCCCUGGCACUAUUCACUUCGUGCCGGGCCCGUGCUCGUGCCGUGCUUUUUAGUGUUGGGCCUCGAGCCACCCAACGGGCCUGGCCCAUUUGGAAAUCUUUGUUCGUGGGUAAAAACUCUCUAACCUCGCAAGUUCUUGGUCAAGGAAUAAAACUUGGUUAACCUCGCAAGUUCUUAUGGAAACUAUUCUGGUAGUAAAACUCAUACCCUCGCAUCUUCUUUGUUACUGGAGGGACUCGAAGCUGGCAACUGGUAACUAAUAACUAAACUCCAACUGAGCUAACCCUCGAGUGUUCGGAAUCAGUCCUGAACACCGAGCUUUCAUCUUUUUUACUCUUUACUCAGGAACGGAACCUGAAGGGAGAUUCCGUGAGGUUACAAGAUUCUCAGAGCAACACAACGAACCAGGCGUCACGAGGUUGGACAACUAUCUCAAGCCAAGGGUGGAGACACGAGGCUGGAAGAUCGAUCUGGUGAAGGUGAAGUCCCGAGGUUGGAAGGACGGAGGCGUGAGAAACGUGACCAUAUUGAGGAAUUCAAUUUAUACACGUUACCCCAUGACCUUUAUGUAUGGCAUAUCCUAGAAAUGUAGUGGUUGAGGAAGGACAUUUCGAAAUGUAAAGUGGCUCAUGUGUCACUAUAAUAGGGGAGCUCUACUCCAUUGUAAAGGAAAAUCGAUUGUUUUUUAGAACUUCCAAGUGUUAUCUCUUUUUAUUCACGAAUUUGUUUGGUAUCGAAUUUUUCACGAAUUUGUUUGGUAUCGAAUUUUCUUUGAGACCAACAGGCAAUGAGGAGGUUAGGGUGGGCGCAACUCAUUUCAAUGGUGUAUGGUAGCAUAGUGAUGACAGAUCGAUCCGGUGGUGGGAUCCACCUGAAAUGAGAGAAGAAGGGCGGUAAGGGGCACCACUCAACGCAAGAGGAAGCUCCUCGGUGAGCACAUCGGGAGGAAGAAGGAACUACAAGAAGAAGCCCAAGGAAGAAGAUCUAGUAACUGUUGGAUUUCAAUCCAUGAACAUUCAGAUGUAUGGAAAAGAAAAGAAAAGAAAAGAAAAGAAGCCCGUAAGCAGUAUAGCUGGCCUAAAAAGAGAUACCAUGCAUGGCUUCAAGGAUGGGUCCGGGAUGUGCACUGCUGGCGCAGAACCCAAACACCAAAACAAGCACACACUUGCCAAACGUCACUCUUCAACACUUGUCGUACAGUAGAUUUCUACCUCUCCCAUCCUUGUCGUGCUGUGAAGAUAUCACCCGCGAGCAGCCAAUCCGAGCGCUCCCCGCUCCCAUCCUGGCCCCUCCUCCGAUGCCGUCCACUUCCACGUCCCUCUCGCCCGGCACGGCGCCGGACCACCAGCUGAUCGAGGCAUCGGCGACGACGCGACCAACCCCUACCCGGGCACCAGUAACCGGGACAUGCCUUUAACACGCUGGGAUCCCACUUCGACAGAAAGAUGUAAGCAAAGCAAACGACGCCUCGUUUCGUUCCAUAUCAUGGAGGCGGCCAUUCUUGCCGUGCUGGUGGCCGUCCUGCUCCUCCUCGCCCGAGGCGGAUCGGCGGCGGCGGGGGCCGGCGCAGCCACCGAGUUCGUGUUCACCGCCGGCUUCGCGCGCCAGAACGUGACGACCAGCGGCGCGGCCGUGGUCACGGCCUCCGGCCUCCUGCAGCUCACCAACGAGACGAACGAGGUGUUCGGGCACGGCUUCUACUCGGCGCCGCUGCGCUUCAAGGACGCCUCCACGGGCGCGCCGCUCUCCUUCUCCACCACCUUCGUGUUCGCCAUCGUGCCGCGGUACCCGGACGCGCACGGCCACGGGAUCGCCUUCGCGCUCGCGCCGUCGCCGGCCGUGGCGGGAGCCGUGGCGGGGAAGAACCUCGGCCUGUUCAACACGUCGGAUAACACGGGGCAGGGGAGGAGCGGGAUCGUCGCCGUCGAGCUCGACACGGCGCGGGACGAUGAGUUCAGGGACAUCGACAAGAACCACGUCGGCAUCGACGUCAACAGCUUGGAGUCCGUGAACUCAACGCCGGCGGCGUACGUCGAUGUCGGCACCGGCAGGCUCGUCAACUUCAGCCUGGUCAGCGGAAACCUCCAGCAGGUGUGGGUCGAGUACGACGGCGCGAGCAUGCGCAUGGAGGUGACGGUGUCGCCGGCCGGCAUGCCCAGGCCGGCUGUCCCGCUCGUGUCGUACACCGUCAACCUCUCGUCGGCCGUGGCCGACGACACUUACGUCGGGUUCUCGGGAGCGAACGGUGCGGCCUCAAGCUCUCACUACGUUCUUGGCUGGAGUUUCCGCCUCGGCGGCGGCCGCGCGCCGGACCUCGACCUCUCCAAACUCCCGCCGCUCCCACCUUCAAGAUCCAAGAAGAUGAUGCCGCUGCUACUGAUCCUCACACUGUUCCUAGUUGCCGUCUUGGUACUACUCCUAGUGUCGGGGGCAGUCGUGGUGCUCGUCAGAAGGCGCCGCCGGAUCGCCGAGGAGGAGGAGGACUGGGAGAUCGAGUACGGCCCUCACCGGAUCCGCUACAAGGACCUGCACGCGGCGACCAGGGGCUUCCGCGACAUCAUCGGCGCCGGCGGCUUCGGCACCGUGUACCACGGCGUGCUCCGGCGGUCGGGCGCCGAGGUCGCCGUCAAGAAGGUGGCCCACGACUCGCGGCAGGGGCUGCGCGAGUUCGUCUCGGAGAUCGCGAGCAUGAGCCGGCUGCGCCACCGCAACCUGGUGCAGCUCCUCGGCUACUGCCGGCGACGGGGCGAGCUGAUGCUCGUCUACGACUACAUGGUCAACGGCAGCCUCGACAAGCACCUGUUCGACGCCGGCAAGCCGGCGGCGCUGAGCUGGGAACGGCGCGCCAAGAUCGUCCGCGACGUCGCCGCCGGGCUGCUGUACCUGCACGAGGGGUGGGAGCAGGUGGUGGUGCACCGCGACAUCAAGUCCGCCAACGUGCUCCUCGACGCCGACAUGAACGGCAGGCUCAGCGACUUCGGCCUGGCGCGGCUGUACGACCACGGCAGCAACCCGCAGACGACGCACGUCAUCGGGACGCUCGGGUACCUCGCGCCGGAGAUGAGCAAGACGGGCAAGGCCACCACGAGCACCGACGUGUUCGCGUUCGGCGCCUUCCUGCUCGAAGUGGCCUGCGGCCGGAGGCCCAUGGAGCGCAACGACGACCUCGACUCGCCGGGGCUCGUCGACCUCGUCCUCGAGCACUGGAAGGCCGGGAGGAUCAUGGACGCCAGGGACCCAAAGAUCGGCGAGGGCGACGAGGCCGAUGUCGAGCUGGUGCUCAAGCUCGGGCUGCUCUGCUCGCACCCGGACCCCCGGUGCCGGCCGAGCAUGAGGCAGGUGGUGCAGAUACUGGAAGGCGCUGCGCCGGUGCCAGAGACGCCGCCGAAGGAUCUAGAAAACAAUAACAGGUUGUUCUAUGGAUACAUCGAGUCGUUCGACGAGUUCGCCACCGUGUUCCCGACGUCCGGGACCACCACCGUCACGACACAGCCGUCUUCUUCGCACUCCAACGACGAGCAGCAGGAGGUGAUCUCCGGCUGAGUGGUGACAUCUUCUCUCUUCACCAAACCACCAAAAAGUUCAGUCAUGUGCCUACUUACGGUGGUUGGAACUUGUAAAGGAAAGCAAGUAGUCAUAGAUUUAGAGUCAAAGAGGUGUUUGAUCUUUUUCGAAGUGAACAUAGGAUAUCGUCAGCCAUUUGUAGGGAUGACAAAAACAAUAAAGUUUGAUGUAUCAAGUCCCAACUGCCGAGGCCGGCUAUACCAAUCAGGUUAAUUAUCAUUUUUGGCUGGUGCAUUUCCAGAAGAAAAGACUCUGCAAAUGACAAGUGCAUGAGAACGGGUGGUGGACCACAAUAACCUUAUAUGGAUUGUAGGUGAAACAGUGAAUCUCUUCAAAUUAACAGUUAAAUAAACCUCAAAAGAAGUAAUGAUAUGGAAACAUCAUUUUUGUGAAGAAUCAGAACCCAGGUGUCGCUUUCGCUGGGCAUCAACUUGCUUACAUGGGAAGAAGAUUGUGGCAUGUGAACCAUAAACUUUAUAAUAGAAGUAUUGAGUUUAGAACAGUGGUCAGUGGACUUGGGAAAGAUACGGGAAGGUAUCUGAAAUCUAAAAUAUCUGAACAACCGAAAUAGACAGCACGUACAAGUGACAUGAGGAAGGUCCUAAUUGGAAAAUUACGACAGGCAAUGCCAGCUUCUAUCCAUAUAACAUUAGCUUACAGGUUAGCUGACUAGUUCAUUCAUCUAUAGCCUCAGCCACAAGCAGAAUCAUCAUCAUCUUCCUGGAUGCCCUGUGCAGCACCUUGGAUCAUUUCAUCAUCAACUCCUGGAAGGAAGUUUAGAACGUCUGAUAUUUAGCUUUUGUCAUUACCUGCAGAUAAAGUCUACAAAAGGAAAUACAUGUGGAUGUACCUUCAAUGAAGGAUUCAAAUUCAUCUUCAUUUGGUUCCCUUGGUGCGAUUCGGCUGACUGAUUGAUUAAUCUCCAUCCAGUUUGGUUGCUCAACUGGGCCAGAGAACAGUGCAGGUGUAUCCACAACCCAGUCAUCAACUAUGUCUACGUAGUCCACUGAGACAGGAUCAAAUGCUUUCACCUUGCGCUGUUGUCUAUGAACAAUUAUUAAUAAGAUCGGUCAAUCAAACCAUGUUUUUUUAGCAACACAUUCAAAUUUAACUCAUAAUGGCAAGACUCUAUACAAAAAGAUGAUUCCAUUACCUUUGCUGCAGCCGUAGGUUGUAUUGUACAAAGGUGAGAUCAUGCAUUCGCUGACGCUCAAAACUAUUCAAUCUUUCAUCAUGAACUUGCUCAAAAGGAAUGUGCGCCCGAUCACAUCCUCUAGCGCUGCAGGUUUGACUAAGAAUACGGACCGCUAGACGUGUUAAAUUUGGGCAAGCUCCUCCAUAUGUAUACCACCAUUCAGCUGUAAGAUAAAAUAACAAUAGUAAAGGCAAAAUGUUAAAUAUCACUUAACAAACUUUACAUUGUGACAACAUCAUUAAAGGGAAGCACAAUUUAACUAGGUUCCAAAUAUUGAAAGAAGGCUAACAAUGUAAAGUUUGUCAGAAAAGUCUCAUUUGGUUAGAUAAAACAAAAUAACCCUACAGAUGUAACUCAAGUUUGCAUGACAAAAAAAAACAUAAUACUAGCGUGUAUUACUAGUUAACGAGAAAUUCUUAAAUACUAACCAGGAGGUAAAGUUCGUCUGGAUCGGAUAGCCAUCUGCCUACGAAAAUCCCCUGCUGUCUCACUCCGGUACAUGUUGAGCUCUCGCUGGAUUUUAUCUUGGAUUUUCACAUCAGAAACCAGCCUUUCUAUGCAAUCUAGCAUUCCUGAGAAGAUUCCAUUUGAUACAUCACCUCGAAUUCCAUCAAAAAAUAGUGGAUUCAGGAAGAAACCAGCUGAAUGAAGUGGCCGUGGUGUUUGGUUGUCCCAUCUCCAGUCGAUGAUAUUCCAAUAAGCCAUGUAGUCGUUCUUACUCACUAGCUCUUUCUUGAUUGCUGCUUUGGCCUGGUACAAUCCAGCAUAAAUGUACCCCAUAGCAGGCCUCUUUGUACUACCAACUAGCUUAAGGAGAUGCACAAGUGGCUCGGUGAUGUGAACAACAGCAGCACAAGAGGACCAAAACUGCAAACUAUUAACAAGAUUGCUUACUUCGAUCCCUCCUUUCUUUGGCAGCAAAAAGUGUAUCCAUUCAUCCGAGUUGACCAUGGCUUGCAAAGCCUCCUUCAGACCGUACAUGUUCUUCAGUGUGACAAAGUUCAUAGAAGCGCGAGUCUCUGCAGGAACUAGCAGAUCCUUCCCAUGCAGAUACUUCUUCAUUAGAUUCAAUGCAAAUGCGCUGUUGUAGAAAAAUCCUGUGAGGGCCUUUGCAUUACUUAUUAUCUCACUGAUUGCCCCUACCUUACUGAAAUCUUCAAGCAUGCCAUCGAUGCACUGGAAAGAGCAUGGAGACCAGAACAAUGUUGGAAAUGUUUCACCUAGCUUUUUUCCUGCAGCUGCAUGGAUCUCAGAGUUGUUUGUGAUUACUUGGACAACUUUUUUCUCGCCAACUUCCUCGACAACACUUUUCAGUAACUCAUACAGUGCAUCUGAAGAUGCGACAAUGCUGGUUGCAUCCACCGAUUUGAGGAACAUAGUGCCUUCUGGGCAAUACACUGAAAAGUUUAUCAAGGUUCUGCCUUUAUCAGUGAUCCACUCAUCAGCCAACACCGAGCAGCCAGUCCUUGUCCAUGACCCCUUGAAGAACUCCAACCGAGACGUCGCAUCAUCCAGUGACUUCUUAAGAAUGUGACCACGAAAGUCAUGGUAUGAGAGCGCCUCCGGCCUCCCUCCUGCCGAUGCAAUAGCCUCAAGCAUGGGCUGGAAGUAGACUGAAUUCACUGCUUCCAAUGGCACACCAACAUCAUACAAGAACCUCCCAACUGCCACAGAAACCUGCUCCUUGUCCAAACCAGCAUGUCCGAAAUGUCCUGAUGAUGGUGUAACUGCGUCGACUGCCAUCACAACCUGAUGAAGAGGAUUGGUCUGAGGAGUAGACGGAACAUGCUGCUGCAGAGUCGGGGGAGUAAGUGGUGGAGUGGAGGCGUUACUCAACAUCUUCCUCUUCUUCUUACUGCUGACACUCCCCCUCAUGGUCUCCGGAAGCGGAGGCCUCUGUUCGUCGAGCGGCACGGGUUCGAAGUCCAGCACCUCGUUGAGCGGGAUCAUGUGGAUGGGGCUGUCGGUGGCCCCACCGCUCGCGGCGGAGGCGGGCGACGCGUCGGUGGGGGCGAAUCGCCUCAUGUCGCCGGGCGGGAGUGCGUUGGCUAGCUUGCGCUGCAUCUUCUUGGCGGCGACAGCGUCGAGGCUGCGCAUCAUGGUGUCCUGGACGUCGCGGGGCACCUUGGGGCAGCAGCAGGCGUUCCCGGGGCGGCGGGCCAGGUGCUCCUUGAAGCGGUGGAUGCCGCCGCCGAGGAAGUGCUUGCCGCAGUAGGCGCACUUGAGGCGCACCCGGCCCUCGGCGCGCACCAUGAGGCAGUGCUUCCACGCCGGGUCGUGCUUCUGCGCGCCGAUCUGCACCACCUCCUCCUCCUCCGCCCCCGCCCCGGCCGCCGCCGCGGCGUCAUCCCCCUCCUGCCUCUCCAUCCGGGCGCGAGCACUGCAUCAGCCAUCACCACCGGGCGUCACGAACGGCGCAAUUGGAUUCGAACGCAAUUCAUCGAGAGUCCUGCUGCUAAUCCCCCAAUUAGCCGAUGGCGCGCGCGCGAAAUGAACCUGUGCGGCCCCGCGCGCGCGAACCGAGCGAACCAGGAGAACCUGAAAGGAGUGGGGGAAAGGGUGGGAGGAGCGGGAUCGAGAGAGAAGAGAGAACUCACCCGGGUUUUUGGGAGGCGAAACGGCCGGGCUCCCCCAAAUCGGCGUCCGCCGGGGCGGGGAGGAAGAAAACCAGUGAGGUGGAGGUGAUUGGGGAUGGUGAGCGACGGGCGAGACGUGGGUGAGGAGCGAGCCGGCCGGGUGGGGUUGGUUGGUUGACCUGGCCGAGAGGGAGGGGGAGAGGGAUCGGGCACCGGCCCAGCCGGUUCUCGCGUGGGUUGGUUCGGGUCAGGUCACAUCAGGUUUGGGCUGAUCGGGGCGAAUGUGCCGGACCGUGGGCCGGCCUGGUUGGUUUGGCCGGAGGAGAGUGCAAAGCACUCGUUGCCCCACCCGUCAAACCGGGCAUCACCGGCCGCGGCGCCGGCCCGGAGAUGCUCGUUUCCCGACUCCCGAGGCACUAGCUGUCGCGCAAUGGGUACGGUGCAAGCUGCAGGGGGCAGAUGGGGACAAGUAAACACCUCACUCCACUCCAUCUCAGUUCUCAGCUGAUGGCAAAGAUGAACUGAGAGCUGAUGGCGAAGAUGAACUGAGAACUGUAGCUAGAUUGAGAGCUGGGGAAAGAGGUCGGGGAGGGGGGAUUUCGUUCCGAAGGCCUUGCUACGAGCUGAUCUUACCAUCACCAUUCAGCAGCACCGAGGUAUGGUUCUCUCGGGUCACAAUGUUUGCAUAUCUUUCUGCAGAUCGAGCUAGGUCUAUAUGUUGGGGAAAAUAAUUAGUUUUCUCUUCCCUUUUUGGCUGGGGAAUGUCAGUGAAAAUCGCAUGGGAAACUUCCGUGAGAUUGUGCCCGUGCGUGUGAGAUUUCGGAAAUAUGUAGGACAAAUCCCGGGCAAAAGGAAGAAGUGGCGUGCUCAAUUUAUUCUUCCCCCAAGUGACUGGUUGAACUCGCUGGAGUUGGUAGCUUUGGUUCGUUAUGUGGACCUGAUAUGAUGUGCCAGUAUCAGGAGGGAAGUGCCUUUGAGGGAUGGGAUCAUGGGAAUGAAUCUUUUUUGUUUUUUUGCCUGCUCCCCUUCUCUCUUCUUCUCUGCUCGCAUUUGGGAGACCUGACGCCUACCAGGAAGCUAGGGGAGUUCAGUUCACGUUGAUUUCUUUGUUUGAGAAUUAGUGUCUUUUUUUGGAAAAAGACACGUAGGUUACCCCCGGUAAAUAAUUAGGCAUUAGAUUAGAAAACGUUAUUUGUCUCAUGAUUUAGAGUUACAAGUACUGUACUUCUCGGACACAUUUCAUGGUACCAAAUUAUAGGUCGACCUAUAAUUUGGAACAGAGGGAGUAGUACGUUAAUUUUAGGUUAUGCAUUCUUAGAUGUAAAGUAUGUGUACCUGUAUUUUGUUAGUUGGAUUUGACCAAUUGGUGUCGAUUCUUAGAUGGAGAAUUUUCAGGGUGUGUAGGUUAAGUGGGUGUUUGGUUCCACCUUGCUAAACUUAGUUGCUAAAGUUUAGCAACUUUUAGCUGCUAAACUGCCAAACACCCUUGCUAAAACUUGCUAAAGUUGAGUUGCUAAAGUUUAGCACUUUAGCAAGUUUUAGCAACCAAAAACUUGUCUCCCCCCUCUUGCGCACCUAUACCCCUCAUUUAUUGCUUGUCUCCCCCCUCCUGCGCACCUUUAAUAAGGGUAGAUAGGUCUUUUUAUAGCUCAUUAAAUGUCUUUUAGCAAGAGUAUCCAAACAGCUUUUGCUAAAGUUUAGCAACUUUUAGCAACUAAAGAUUAGCAAGAGGAACCAAACAUGCCCUAAGAUGGAAAUCAACAACUGUAGGUUUUAAGGACGUGAUUUAUGAAACAUUAAAUGGCUCUAUUGUAAUUAGGAUUUUCGCACUAUAAUAAAUCCCAACAGCUGGCAUCACAGUUUGGAUGGAUUUUAUAUGGGAGGCUGAGAGGUCCUAAUUUUGUGUCUUGAACUAGAUAUGUUGGGCCUAACGAAAUUUAGGGUCUUUCUAUCGAUCGAGAUGGUGUUGGUUUCAGCAGUUUUUUCAGUUACAGUGUUUGAAUUCCCAAAUCAAGGGUAGAAUGGGGAGAUGAUGAAAUGGUAGGCAUGCUGUUUUUCUCUAAACCUUAGGAAGUUUAUUUGUGCCCCCAUGCUGGGUGGGAUACAGGUAGCUCUGGUUUGUUUUUCAUAUGGCUUUCUGCAUAAGCAGGGAAGCAUGUUUCAUCUGUAAAGGAAGGGGAAUGCCACUGGAUGUGGUGAAAAUUUAGAAGGAAUGUACUGAAUGGUGAACGCCUACCAGAUGUCAGAAAAUAUGGGUCAAAUGAAACCUUAUUUAGGAAAUACAUCUCUUACGAGGCUAUAGAUUGUGAAUGAACUGAUACCUUUUUUUUCUGCAGGCAUGUCAAUAACCGAGAGCUUCACGAUAUACCAUGGGGAUAAUUUGUUUACAAAUGGACCUGCGGGGGUGCAGCGGAAUCUGGCCGGCCGCGUCGUGUACAAGAAGCUGCUAGGGCCGCAGUACAUGUCGUUCCAGCAAGUGCGGCGCUGGAUAUUGGAGAUGUUCAACGUGGACGAGGUGAGCUUGUGCUGCGGCACAUCGUGCCUGUAAAGCCCAAGAACCAGGCGCGCGCUUACAACAUGGCGGUUGAUAUAGUAUGGCUUGAUUCCUGGAGGACAUUUCUUGAAGUGUCAUUGCGCCAAGGUGUCUCUUUGGUACUCUAUGUUCAGUGGCAGGCCAAGGCGGCGUCAGGUCCCGUUUGUGAAGGCGCUAUCGGCGAGAAGAACAGCGCCACACCUGCUCUGGCUCCAGCUCCGGCCCCGGCAACUGCCCCUGCGCCCACUCCUGCUCCUGCUCCUGCCCCUGCGCCUGCUCCCGCUCCCGCUCCCACCGCUAAAGAGCCCACCGUGGCCGGUGAACAAGGCGGAAGCUGGGACAGGGAGGACCCGGGCCGACGUCUCUACCGCUGCCCUCUGUUGGAGGUACCUUAUACUAGUUCCUUUUCCCAUGCCAUUAUUUGAAGAAAUUUAUAGAUUAGAGAAGUAGUCAAAUCUACAAAUGACCUCGAUUCAUUCCGCUUCCCAGGAUCCUGGGGGAUUGUGGAUUCACGCAGUGGCUGGACGAGGCCUUCCCUGAAAAGGCGACCAUGCACAUCAACAACCUCCUGAGUAGGGAGGAGUGCCUCGAGCAGCAGGUCGAGAACCUCCAGGAGGAGCUCAACGAGCUCCGUCGCCGGUACGUGACCGGCAGCAGCCAUCGUGACGGGCAAGACAGCGAGACACGCCCACGCCAAGUCCGCAGAAUGAUCUAGGACAACUGAUGGUGUACCCUGCUUCUCCCAGUUUGCAUGAAGUCCUCAAAUGUUACUAGUCAUGCUGUCCGUUUCUUGUUCGUUCAACCAUUUGUUCAGUCAUGUUGUUGCUAGAGCAUGUCGCUCUGAACAGUCUGAACCGUGUUCCAAUGUUAUGCCAUCUGUAAUGUAAAUUACUUGCAUCAACGCAUUUACCAUUUCAGAACAAUGUUGGACGUACUUCUUAUUUUGUCGCUACUUGUAUCGGUUCAAGUAUCAUGUCGAACAACCGUACUGAACCCCAAAUCUUGCACAAGUGACAAUCUGAAAGCUGCAAACGCGUUUGAAUCCAUAAAGGUCUGCAAACAGGCGAGAGUGAUCACUAUCCAUUACCACUCAAGAAUUUCUCAUGUUAUCCCCAUGUCACGGUAAAAAGAAUUUGAAUAUUACCAAUCAGUACAACAUUGUAAAAACUUGGAACACCUACAGCAUGAACAAGCGGAAAAGCACAAUAAGAAGCUAUCACUGAUUGACUAGCAGUAGAAGACUGCGCACAUGGAAAACGGAAUCCAAAACAAAUUGGAAUAGAAAUUGUUUCGCGUGUAGUAUAUAUGACCAACUCUUGUGCGAGGAGCACUGAAAAACUUACAAAAAAAAAAA